CUUCCUCCGUUUGGCAGUAUUGCUGAUGAUGAUGUCAUGAACGACAAUCUUGAUUUUCUUAAUGUCCCCCAAUAUGGAAGAAACCCCGACUACAUGGGUUAAGUGCAGCACUGCUUUUUUUUUUUUUCUGUUUUGUUUAAUUAAAUAAAUGAUAGGUAUACUAUUACCUAUCAAUCAUGACAAUGUUUUAGUAUGGUUUAGUUCAACUUAUAAGAUUUCUUGAGACGUACAAGCAAUCUUUUUGUUUACUUUUGAGCUAAGUAUUUUCCUGAAAAAGGAAAUAAAUCAAUAAAAGUUAUUGUGUGUGUCAACAUAUUGGUUCUAUUAGUUUAUACACGUCGGUUUUAAUUACGAUCUCUCUUCCUAAAUGUUGUACUUUUUUUUGAAAUAAACUCAAAACUUUGUUGUAUAAAAAACUCUUAUCACUUUCAAUCAUAUGAUGGUUACAAUUUAAUCAUUUAUUCAUAACAUCCUCCUGGUCCUCCAUUGAGGAUAUUAAAGUGUGCCAUUCUGUAACCCAGAACUAUCAUUUCUUCCACCUCUACGAUAUCUUGUAAUGUUACUUGCAGCUUCAUAAGCCACAGAAACAUCAUCAAAAUCAACAAAUUGUUUUUUUUUUUUUUUAGGAAAGUAAUAAGAAAAAUAAAAGCUGCAUUAUUUUAUUGGCCACAUUGGACUCCUAGGCCGGGUAAUCUUGUCAUCUCUACUCGUAGAGUCUUCUCCCAUGGUACUUGCAUGGUUCCAUCUUUUAACUCUAGUAGUAUUUUGUUUGGAAAAUACCCCAAUAUAAUAUCUUCAUUCAAGAAAAUUGAGGACUGAAUUUGUGGUGCUUUUAUCAUAUUAAAUUACAUUUAAUUAUCAAUAUUUAUUGACUGAAAUCAGAAGGGUGUUUGAAUCAGAUAUGAAUUCUCUCUUAAUCAAUUUUUUUUUCUAAAUUUUGUAAGAUAUUAUGGCAGAUUUCAUUUAAAUUGUUUUAUAGUUAGGAUUUAAUUUAUUUUGGGCUUUCCUUAUUGUUUGAAUCCGAUGAAUUUCAUAUCAUCUUGCUGGUGCUUCUUCUGAUCUUCUUCUCCCUCCCUCUCUCUCACUUUUUUUCUUCUCUCUCACAGACCUAAAACUUUGACGAGCAAAUUUGAAAACGAAAUAUCAGGACGGAAAAGCCUCAACAUAUUAAAAAAUUCGGAUAAUUUAACUCUCGUAGCAUUGAUGAAUUUUGGUGUUCUGAUGCGAUUCAAGUUUCUCAUAGAGCCAAAAAAUGGCAAUUCAAGCCAAUUUUUUUAUCCAUCAAUUGAAAUACAUGUUACAUAUGCAGCAGCCCGUAAUCGAAAAUAACUUAAUUUGUUUUAAAAAUUCUUUAUGUUAGACUAGAAAUGAAUCCAUUCUUGUUAUUGCGUAUCUGCAAUUUAACUUAUGCUGCUAGUUUACAAUUUAUUUUAUUCACAUAAAUGAUCGUUCCUUUUUCUUAUUCUCAAUUAAAUUUUGGUUCCUAGAAUGAUAGUUAAAAAAAUUAACAAUAAUAAUCGAUGUCGCAGAUCAAUUAUCAAAGUUUGUUUGUGUGAACAAGAAAUAUGAGAAAAAGUUUGUUAGUUAAUUGUCUCUUAGUUUUAGAAUUUUGAUUAACCAAUAAAACAACGUAUUUUAUUGUUUAAUAAAACAAGUUCAAAGUAAAUUCAAUCCUAGUCAUAUUUUGAUAUUUUUAUUACAUCGCAAUUAAAUUUAAGACAAACCACAUUUCGGCAAUUAAAUUUAAGACAAGCCACAUUCUCCACAUGAAAUAUUUUUGUCGCGUCGUGAUUAAAUGAUUGAGUCUCACGUAGAAGUCUGUCACUAACCAUAUAUUUUUAUAAAUUUAUCAACACAAAAAGAAAAAAAAAAUGAAGUAUUUGAAAUUUAUCUGGGGCUAAGCAGUAACAUUGGAUGUUGCCUCGGAUGUCCUAUAUCAAGGGCCCGAUUAAUAAAAUUUUGGGCCCUAGGCAAAAUUUCUAAAUUAGCCCUUUUUAUUUAAAUGAAAGUUAAUGUGAGAUUAAUUUAAAUUUUUACGAUUAAUAUGAAUAAUUUAUUUUUUUAGAUAUAAUUCCUUUACAUAGUUUGUAUCUGUAUUAUUUCAAAGAUUUUUUUGGGUUAUGUUUAAGCAGGCUUAUUUUUGAGAGAUUAUGAAGAAUAAGAGAUUGUGUUUCAAUUGGAAAUAACAAAAAUUUCGUUGCAUAAUUUUUUUUAAGCAUUAAAGAAAUAAGUUAUUGACGGAAAUUUCACUUUCAACAUAGAGAAUAUCCAACAUUUUAAACAAGAAAAUAAAUAAAUUCUGAUUUUUUAACUGAACUAUAUAUUGAGGUGGGGCCAAAAUUUUUGGAGAGCAAAUAUAAUAACUCAAUUUCUAAAUAAUGAAUAAUGACUCAAUUUCUAAAUAAUGAAGUAAAACAUAAAUUAGGGUUUUAGUAGGAAAGUAUAUUAGAUGGGACCUUGAUUUUAGGGGAAGGCAUAGGCAGUUGCCUAAAGAGUAGAGCUUCUAACACCCCUUUUAAACUUGUAACAAACCCCAAUUUUUUGUUUUUUUAAGUCUCUUUCUUUUAUGAAAAAUACAGAAAAGGACAUAAAGUUAUAAUGAAAUUUUAAUUGAACUUCACUACUGUAUAGAAUACAUUUUGUAAACAAAUUUUUCAUAAUAAAUUUUUUAAUAAAUAAUUUAUUUCUUUGUUAUUUUGUUUUUAUCAGCAAAUUAAUUAUAAUAUCAUAGGAUUAGCAAAUAGUCAAGAUUCAAGAUUUGUUAAGCUAUUUUAAUGUAAUCAAAUUCAUAUUUUUCCUUUUAGUAAUUCUUAGUAAUAAUAGAACUAUUAUUUUAAAAGUAGGGUGAUGCAAGAAUAUUAAAACGGUGUGAAAAGCAUUACUCUUGCCUAAAUUAUUCCAAGGUUGAACCGGCGUGUCUAAUUACCACCCUCUAGAGAAAGGGGAAAUUUUUUUUCCGAAGACAACCAUGUUUUGGGUAUUUCUACCGACACUCUACAAAAUAAAUGCUGGAAGAAAAUUAAUACUCUAUUAAUUGUUAGGGACAAAUCACACUUCCGUUGAGAAUAGACCUUCAGUUAAGUAUACCGGUUUCGACAUCCCUCGACUCUUGAGCUUUUCUUUGAAUAUAAGUUGGGUUCGUGGGUUUUUAUAUAAUAUCAGAGUUAGAAUCGUACAUAAGUGAGUCCACACUACCUUACCACAUCGAUUGAGAAUAAAUAUUGAGUUCAAUAUUAAACCUUCAACCACAAGGAUAAAACUAAUUAAGGCCCUUGAGGGGCUUCAAUACAUCCUCAACUAUUAAAUUCAUGGAAAUUCAUAUUAAUUUAAUGGAGUUGAACUUUUGGCACCCCUUUGAAUAUGUCUUAAAACACAUUUUCUUUACUUAUCCCAUUAAAAUUGUAUAAAGAUUGCACACUUUCUCAUGAAAUCCCUAUGAUUCUAAAAAUAACCCUGAUUUCUUGUUAAAUAAACACCAAUGCAGAUGCGGCAAUAAAAUAGUUAAUUUAAAAAAAAAUCCCUAUCUGAGAGACAGAAAGCUAGAGGAUUUCAAUAUGGAAUAUUUAUGAUCAAUAGAAGAAUUCAAGUGACUGGAGAAAAUUCAGAUUGUUCAAAAUGGGUUCUCAAACGAGAUAAGCCUCAGGUAGUAGACCUCACCAACAUCAGUACCAGACUCAAUCCAUAGAAUCGGUCUCGUCUUAAGCCUAACAGCUCCCUUUUAAUAUAAUCUAGUGAGAACGGUGAGGUGCUUGGUAUAUCAUACACCAAAAAUCAACGAUGCUUGGACUUUCAAGAAAAAGAGAAAAACAAAUGCAUGCAGGGGGAAACGUACUAAUUAAAAGCAAAUCAUAUAAUUUACAAAUUAUUAUAGGCUUGUAGCCAUAAGAUCGAGAGAAACUAAAACAUUUCUUGCAUUUUCUGGCCAUAUUUUCUAAAUGAAGGGAUGGUCCAUUGCUGCUCUGCCAUACUGGAUCUCAAGAUGUCAUUAACAAUAGGUCUCAAGAUGUCGCUAACAAGGUGUCACUCUGAUACCGACAGGUCUACCACUUAGACAUAACACUUGCCAUAUAAAAUUUUCUCCUAUUUUUGCUAUUUCCUUCGUAUCUUGCAUUGAAUUAUUGCCAGCAAAUGAUAUUUCGAGUCAAAAAAGUAUAUUCAAUUAUUGCAUAUAUGCUCCUAGGUAAUUUGCACAAUUGAAUUAUAGCUGUUAAUCUACUUAUUUACACAAAUGAUUAAUUGUACGCAUCCAUUGCAAGACUUUCGCACUAGGUUUCAAUUUCAACCACAAAUCCUACCUCUAGAUAAAAAUGAUGUGGUCGUAGAGAUUUCGAAUGUAUUCACUUUGUGAUUAACGGAAGCAUUGCUUUCAUUUGUAAGACGUUAAAUCAUCAUUUUGGUAAAGGAAAAAGAAUGAAAAAAGCUGCACUAUUUUAAAGGCCAUUUGGUAUAUGACCACUUCCCAUUGGACUUGGAGACCGGGUAAUUUUGUCAUCUCCACUCCUAGAAUCUGCUCUCAUGCUACUUGCAUGGUUCCAUCUUUGAAGUCUGGUACUGUUUUGUUUGGAAAAUACCCCACUAUAAUAUCUUCACGAAGAAAAUUGAUCCCCGUUAACUAGCGUGAUUAGCUUAGUUUCUUAAAUUCAACGUUCGUUUGGUUAAUUGUCUGUUAGUUUUAGAAUUUUGAUUAGCCAAUAAAACAAUGAGUUUUAUUGUUUGAUAAGGCAAGUUGAAAUAAAUUCAAUCCUACUCACAGAAAAAUUUAAAUGACACAUAUCAUAAUCUUUUUCAUAUCUUCAGAAAAAUUAAAUCAUAAGAGGAUCAUGAACAAUUUGAUGAUGCUCUGAAAUAUAGUCUUCUGUUUUUCAAGGAAAAAAUAAGGAAGUUAAAAACAUGUUUAUCAGGUUUUUCAGAGAUCAUUUUGACGUUUUUGUUUAAAAACAUGAAAAUUGUUCUUAUUCUCGUAAACCAGAAAAAAUUAUCUGGCCGGUUAGCUAAUUAUUCUUGUUCUUCUGUUCUUUUUUAUUUGAAUUGUUUCUCCCUUUUCCAUUCAUUUUUCACUAUGAAAUUAAUUACUAAUUAAUCUACAGUUAGUUUCUUUACAGCUAAUAGGAACGUGAUUUAUGCCCGAAGACUCGCAUCUUUUUGAUUCAUUAUCUACAGUGCCUCACCUCCAAUCUAUGUAUAGGCGGACAUGCAUAUUUAUUAUAUCAAAUAAGUUAUUGAUGGAAAUUUCACUUUCGAAAUAGAGAAUUAUCCUUAAUUAAAUCUUUGUGGGCCUAAAUUCGAGUAAGAUUUAAUGAUGUAUGAUUCAAAAUUAUUGAAAUCGGACAUUUUAAACAAGAAAAAAAUAAAAAAUCUUGUUCUCUUUUUUAAAUAAUAAAUUUCAUUUUGAUGGAUUUUUAAUAUUAAAUUAGACAUUUGCUAAAUUGGCUCAAAUAUAAUAGAUCUUAGACCUUGCUUUUAAUGGAUUUAAUUAGGUUUUGGGCAUUUAAAUUAUACAACUGGAGACAGAAUUUAUAAAUAGAUAAGAUUCUAAUGUGAUUUUAAAAUAAUUUUGAACUUGAACUUGAACUUGAUGCAUUUAAUUAAUCCAGAAAGGUAAAUUUAUAAUUUCAACUUUUAAAUAAAACAUAUCCUUUGGAUUUUUUACAUAAACUAGAGGCAAUUGUACAAUAUUUACUUGACUAGUGGUAUAUAUCCCAAAUUUUUUAUCCUAAGAAAUGCCACAUCAUUUGGUUGAUGAGGAUAAUAUAAUUAAUUCACUUAGAUAUUAUAAAAAAUUAUCAACCAAUCAAUGAAUAACAUAUCAUUUUCAUUGGGAUGAAAUUUGAAAAAAAAAUUUAGGACGUCUAUCAUUACUUUAGUAAGAAAGCAUAUUAAGAUGGACUGACAUGUUUGGAUGCCCCAGCCUAAGAUGCAAGAGAUCAAUUUCUUUUGUUGUCUUGAAAUCCCUACUAUUUGACUCAACAACAUUGGCAACAUUUAACUCAUUACUACUAGAACAAAAAGAUAUCAUAGACAAAGGAUUGCUAAUGCAAUUUAUUGACUCAUACUCUAAAGAUAGAGGUAACUCAACAGCACAUUCAAUCUUGCGCUACUCAUGCACAUUAGCUCAUAUAGCCUAUCUUUAGUCACUCCUUUCAUUAGGAUUUUCACUUGGCUAAAGCAAGUAGAUUUUUGAAGCACAACAUCAAUAUCAUUAUCACGGAACAAUUUUGAGACAUUAAUAAGGUUCUUAGUAAUGCUAGGCACAGACAACGAGCUGUUUAGUUUAAUCUGUUUGUGUGGAUCAUAAGUGAGCAAUAUAGAGUAUCCAAUAUGAGAAAUCAAAAGUUUAUCACCAUUUCCAACAGUAGCUCAUCAUUACCUUGAUAUUAUGAAUUAAAGCUCAUGCUUCCAAUAGCACUGGUUGCAUGAUUUGUAGCACCAUUGUCAAGGUACCAAGCUCUACUAUUCUCACCGUCAACUGCAACCACAUAUGCUCUUCUUGGAUCUCUUCUUCUAUUUGGCUGUGGAACUGAUAUGAACCCUAUUAAGAACUAACAUGACCCUAACCAAUUUAGUCUCUAAGAUUGAAACCAAUUUUUUAUUUUUUUUAGAAGAGAUUGAAACCAAAUCUAAAAUUGAAUGGAACCGCGAUUUGAUCUCAAUGAAAGUACGAACCUUGGUAUGUGAUGACGCCACAAUCAGCUAUGGAUGAUCUUAUUGAUAAGUCAAGAGUUUGAACGCCACAGAAAUCCGAUAAAUUCAAAGGGUUAGUUUAAGAACCAAAGAGAAUUAGCUUUCUCACCAAUUGCAUCAAAAUUGAUGCCUUUCUUAUUGGAUACGAGUACAUUAGAUAGGGUUGGUUUAUAAGAAUUUUAAGAAAUAAAUCCUAAACCAAAAUCAAAUCAGAAUCCUAAUUUAAAGCAAAUAAGGAAAGAAACUAAAUCAAACCAGAAUCCUUAUUGGCUUAAAUGCCUUGCAUCAAUUAAAAAUGGAAACAAGGCAAUUAAAAGAGAAAUAAUUGAUUCGUUUUGCCACUUGCCUACUCAAGAAAUGGGAAAGUAUCCUAAAAGGAAAGUAGUAUAUUUUCCAAACGAGAAAACAUCUGAUAAGGUAAAUAAUGUAUUUUCUUGCCAUAAUGUGCAAACCAACUUGCUGAUUUUAUGGAAAUGAUUAUGUGGAAACUUAAAAAGCCUGAAUCACGUAUUUAGUGGUCUGAAUAUCAUGUGCGCUUUCUUCAACGGGCCUCCACGAAUUUGAUUGAGCUCAAGUUGCUUAAAUCAACCCAUUAAGCGAUUUUUUGAAUUUUUUUGCACGAGCUCUUGUGAUGGGUCCAACAGGAACUUGAAUGGGAUAUGAAUAUACCUCAUCCCAUGUGCUUGUGACAGUUUUGUCCUCAAUAUCAUAUUUUUUCCUUCAAAGAAACAAUUUUGCUUCAUAUGGAAAAGGAAAUUCUUAUGUAGCCUUACAUGAUUUAUACAUAAACUCAUAAUAUUUGUGUAGUCCUUCAUGAACAUGUGAAAUAUACACUUAUAUAGUGAAUCCUUCAUGAGCAAGAUGUUAGUGAAUAACAUCAUAAUUUUGGAAUAGUCUUUCAGGAACAUAUUUUGAAAGAAAAUCUUCAUUAUGUAUAGUGCGAUCCUUAGAGAUGCAUUCUUAAUUUUCUUUCAUUAUAUAUUAUAAUAUUCAUACUUUAGGAUGAAUAUUUUGAAUUUCAAGAAUAGAAAAUAUAUAAUAGCAAUUGAAUAUUAUAAUAUAAAAAAUCAAACAAUAACAAAAUCAAUCAAUGGAACAUUAAAUAAAUGUUGGAAUCCAAAUCUCAUAAAAUAUAUGUAAUCAUUAAUAAAGGAAGUAUUAGAACAAGAAUCAAUCGGUCCUUGAUCUUAGCCACUAACUUAGCAUAUUGUAAUAUUCAUUCUCCUUUAUAUUCUUUCCUUUUCUAUUAUUUGACCGUUUGGUACUUGCCUUAGAUGAUUCUAGUAUUUUUGUAUAUAAGGAUCUUGUACACAGCAACAAAUAUAUAUGAGCAUUUCCACAAUUCUUUACAUGGUACCAGAGAAAAUUUUGCUCAUUUAUGCUUUUCUCUUUGACAAUCAUGUCUAGUAGUUUGAAUCCAAUAUCAGAAACAUCAAAUUCCCUCAUUACCGAUGCUUCUUCACCAUACUUUCUUCAUUCAUCUGAUCAUCCUGGAGCCAUUCUUGUAUCUAAUGUGCUAAUGGGUGAUAAUUAUUCAACAUGGAAAAAAUCCAUGAAGAUGGCAUUAAAUGCCAAAAACAAAUUGGGUUUUAUUGAUGGAAGCAUACAAAAACCUUCAUCAACCUCACAAGAUUUAAAAACUUGGGAGCGAUGCAAUGACAUGGUCCUUUCAUGGAUGCUCAAUGGAAUAGAGAAAAAUCUUGCCAACAGCCUCAUUUAUUGUGAUACUCCACGCUCUCUUUGGCUUGGGUUGGAAGAACGUUUUUCACAAAGUAAAAAUCAUUAGUGAUUUAUUUUAAUACUUUGAAAUUUUAUUAGGAUGAAUUGUCCACAUUAACCACUAUUUCUUCUUGCAAGUGUGAAACUUCAUAUGAAUUGCAGGGAUUACUAGAGACUGAAAAGGUGUUUCAAUUCCUAAUGGGUCUCAAUGAUUCAUAUUCUUCGGUACGAAGUCAAAUCUUAGCCAUGGAACCACUUCCAAAUGUUGGAAAACCAUAUUCAAUUAUUCAUCAGGAAGAACGUCAACGACUUCUCCAUGUUUCCAGUCAACCAUCCAUUGAAUCAACAGCCUUGACAGCCAAUAAUAAGACUCAAAUGACCGGCUGUCAAAAUCAUUCACAUUGUGAAGCCAGCAAGUAGUUAUAUUCUGUUUAAUUGAAUGAGGUGGCAUGCUGAGUUGGCAUAAGAUCCUUGAGUCUGUUAAAUCUGUUAAUGAAGAAUAACAGUUGGCACUCUUCUUUCGUAGCUAAGGAGUUAUAAAAGGGCAGCAAGGAGAUACAUUGGAGAUACGAGUGUAUGAGAGAUUCUUGGAGUGAGAUAUAGAACUUUUGUGAGAAGUUAAUAUCUCUGUAAUCUCAUCAUCUUUUGUAAACCAUCUUUCAUUCUAAAUAAAGCUUAGAGCUGUGCUGUUUCAACCGUGGAUGUAGGCUUUUUGUGGCCGAACCACGUUACAUCUUCUUGCCUUUAUCUUUUAUAUUCUUGGUAUCUUUGGUUGUUUGGUUUAGAUCUUUAGUGAGAAUACAUUUGUUCGUAUGCUUGUUUUCUUAAAGAAGCUUGAAAGUGCUGGGCUAAGUUCUUAACAAACUGGUAUCAGAGCCAGAAGGGCACUCUGUUCUUGAUCUGGCAUAAUGGGCAGCACAAGAUUCGAUCUUGAAAAGUUCAAUGGAGAGAAUGACUUCUACCUGUGGAGUCUGAAGAUGCGAGCCAUUCUGAUUCAACAGGGCUUGGAUAGUGCCCUCGAUGAUGACUGCGAAUCAAAGUCCAAAAGGGAAAAGGAAGAAGGAUCUUCAAGUUUGGGUGGAGACUCAAGGACUAUAAACAACAAGGCUCACAGCACUAUCAUUCUACACUUGUCUGAUGAAGUGCUGAGAGAAGUAGCCAAAGAGAAGACAGCCUCUGGUUUGUGGGCUAAACUAGAAGAACUCUUCUUGAAGAAAUCUUUGGCUAAAAGAUUGUACAUGAAGAGGAAACUCUACACGUUUUCAAUGAAGGAAGGGACAUCCAUGAAAGACCACCUUGAUGAGUUCAAUAAGUUGAUACUCGAUCUUGAAAACGUUAAUGUCAUGCUUGAAGAUGAAGAUAGAGCUCUUAUUUUGUUAAGCUCACUACCUGACUCCUAUGAGCAUUUCGUGGACACCUUGCUCUAUGGGAGACAGACCCUCACAUUGAAGGAUGUCAAGAAUGCUCUCGAAUCUAAAGACCUAAAGAAAAGAUCAGACUUCAAGGAUCAAGCUAUAGGAGAUGGUUUGUUUGUGAAAACAAAAUCAGAAAAGAAAGGAAACAAAGAUAAGAAGAACAAAAAUCAGAAAGAAAAAGAUGACAAGAAGAAGAAGAAAAGAAAAUGCUACUUCUGUCAAAGAGAAGGACAUUACAUCAAAGACUGUUUCGAGAAAAAGAAGCUAGAAAAGCUGCAAAAGGAGACAAAUGGAAAAGCAGCAAUUGCAUCUGAAGAUGAAGAGGAUGCUGAAGGUGCUGAUGUUCUCAUUGCAGCAGAUAAACAACCCACAGCUGAAUGGAUUCUUGAUUCUGGAUGUUCCUUCCACAUGUGCCCAAAUAAAGAAUUCUUCAAGACCUUCUAGAACAUAAAUAGUGGGAAAGUGUUGCUGGGAAACAACCUUGCUUGCAGAGUCACUGGAAUGGGGACUAUCAACAUUCAGAUGUUUGAUGACAAAACCAGGGAGCUUAAACAAGUAAGGUAUGUCCCUGAACUAAAAAGAAACCUGAUCUCUCUUGGGAUGAUGGAUAAAUUGGGUUGUAGCAUUAAGGCUGAAGAUGGAAAAAUUGAGGUCUUAAAUAAAGGUGAAGUCAUAAUGAAGGGUGUUAGAAGGAAUGGUUUGUAUGUGUUAGUUGGGUCAGUGCCUCAGCUUGGAGUAAAUGCUAACAUAAAUAGUGAUAAAACCAAGCUCUGGCACAUGAGACUUGGACAUAUGAGUCAAAAAGGUAUGAAGGAGCUGGAGAAACAAGGUCUGUUUGGCCAUGAUCAGAUUUCUCAACUGGAAUUCUUUGAAAAGUGUGUGUUUGGUAAAGCCACUAGACUUAAGUUUAACACAAGUAAGCAUGAAACCAAACAGACCCUGGACUACAUACAUUCUGACAUCUGGGGUCCCUCCCAAGUUUCAUCCCAUGGUGGAGCUAGAUACCUUAUCACCUUCAUAGAUGACUACUCAAGGAAGCUUUGGGUUUACAUCUUGAAGCAUAAGAGUGAAGCCCUAGAUAAAUUCAAGGAAUGGACAACUCUAAUGGAAAAUCAAACUGGGAGGAAAGUAAAAAGGCUCAGAACUGAUAAUGGGCUAGAAUACUGCAGUAAUGAGUUUGAUGAAUUCUGUAAAAGGUUGGGCAUUGCAAGACACAAGACAGUAAGACAUACACCUCAGCAAAAUGGACUUGCUGAAAGGAUGAAUAGGACCUUGAUUGAAAAGGUCAGAUGCAUGCUGUUGAGCUCAAAUCUCCCCAAGCAUUUUUGGGCUAAAGCUGCUGUUACAGCUGCAUAUCUCAUUAGCAGAAGUCCAUCAUCAGCUCUGGAGUUCAAAACACCUCAGGAAGUCUGGUCUGGGAAGCCACCUGAUCUCAGCAAUCUGAAAGUCUUUGGUUGCCCUGCCUAUGCUCACAUUAGACAGGGCAAGCUGGAACCAAGGGCUGUGAAAGGUUACUUUAUAGGGUACCCUGAGGGCGUUAAAGGAUACAAAAUAUGGAGCAUAAAUGGGAAACCCACCAGAACCUUUAUUAGCAGGGAUGUUGUUUUUGAUGAGGAAGCCCUGACACAGUCAAAGGUUGAGACUGAAAUAAUCAAUACAAGCUCUGAAGUAAAGGGAGUUGUUGAGCUGGAGGUGGAGUCACCAAAAGAAGCAAAACAACAUCCAAAACAAACACAUUCUGAAUUGGAAGGAUAUCAACUGACUAGGGAUAGAAUAAGAAGAACCAUCAAAAUGCCUGAAAGAUUUGGAGUUGCAGAUCUUAUAUCCUAUGCUUUGGCUGUGGCUGAAGCUGAAACAAGUGAGGAACCUGCAACCUACAAGCAAGCUAUGAGAACCAAGGACAAAAGAAAGUGGGUUGCUGCCAUGGAAGAAGAAAUGGCCUCACUCAGAAAGAAUAAGACCUGGACUUUAGUAAAGAAACCAGCUAACCAAAAGCUAGUAGGCUGUAAAUGGAUAUAUAAGAUAAAGGAGGGAGUCUCAGAAGCUGAACCAGCCAGGUACAAGGCCAGACUUGUAGCAAAGGGGUUCACCCAAAGAGAGGGAGUGGAUUUUAAUGAAGUAUUCUCCCCUGUGGUCAAACACAGCUCAAUAAGAGUCUUGUUAUCCAUUGCAGCAUACAAUGACUUGGAGUUAGAUCAAAUGGACGUGAAGACUGAUUUCCUACAUGGAGAUCUCAGUGAGAGGAUACUGAUGGAACAGCCAGAGGGAUUUGUUGAAGCUGAAUCAGAAGAUAUGGCUUGCUUGCUCAAUAAAAGCCUAUAUGGAUUAAAACAGUCACCUAGGCAAUGGUAUUUGAAAUUCGAUGAGUUUAUGAUCACACAUGGCUACAGCAGAAGUAAAUAUGACAGUUGUGUGUACUCUAAGGCUCUAACCUCUGGAAAUUUCAUUUACCUUUUACUCUAUGUGGAUGACAUGCUCCUGGCAUGUAAACAAAGAGAAGAGCUGGAGUGGCUUAAAGGUGAACUAAGCUCAGAAUUUGAAAUGAAGGACCUAGGUCCAGCCACCAAAAUAUUGGGAAUGCAUAUAAUCAGAGAUAGAGUUUCUAAAACCCUUUUCUUGUCUCAGACAGGAUAUGUGGAGAAGGUUCUCAGUAGAUUUGGAAUGAAUGAAUCCAAACCAGCCUUAACUCCUUUAGGAGCUCAGUUCAGACUCUCUAAACAGGAAGAGCCAAAAGAUAAUGCAGAGGUUGAACACAUGAAGAAUAUACCAUACACUAGUGUGAUUGGUUGUAUUAUGUAUGCCAUGGUCUGCACCAGACCUGAUUUGGCCUAUGGAAUUGGAGUCUUGAGCAGAUUCAUGUCAAAUCCUGGAAAACAUCAUUGGCAUGCAGCUAAAUGGAUGUUGAGGUAUUUAAAGGGCACAGCUGGUAUGGGUAUAGUAUAUGGAAGGGUUGACAAAAGCUCAGAUCAAAUUCAAGGAUAUGUUGAUUCAGACUUUGCUGGUGAUCUGGAUAAAAGAAGGUCAAUCACUGGUUAUGUUUACACUUUGUGUGGUGGAGCAGUCAGCUGGAAAGCUUCUUUACAGUCAGUAGUUGCUUUGUCAACUACUGAGGCAGAGUACAUAGCACUCUCAGAAGCAGUGAAAGAAGCAAUAUGGUUAAAAGGGUUAGUAGCAGAGUUAGGCCUGGAGCAAGGAUCAGUCAAUAUCAACUGUGACAGUUCUAGUGCCAUCCAGUUGAGCAAGAACCCAAAAUACCAUGAGAGAACAAAACAUGUGGAUAUAAGGUUACACUUCAUCAGAGAUGAGAUUGCUCAAGAAGUUGUAAAUGUAAUUAAGAUUGCAUCAGAAUGUAACCCUGCAGACAUGCUUACGAAGACUCUGCCAUCAGUCAAGUUCAAAGCUGCUUUGAAUUUGAUUGGCAUGGUUAUUUAGUAGAUCUAGUUAUGGUUGGUUGGUUCAGUGACUGAGAGAAGCUUUAACAGAAUAAAACUAGGUGGAGAUUUGUGAAGCCAGCAAGUAGUUAUAUUCUGUUUAAUUGAAUGAGGUGGCAUGCUGAGUUGGCAUAAGAUCCUUGAGUCUGUUAAAUCUGUUAAUGAAGAAUAACAGUUGGCACUCUUCUUUCGUAGCUAAGGAGUUAUAAAAGGGCAGCAAGGAGAUACAUUGGAGAUACGAGUGUAUGAGAGAUUCUUGGAGUGAGAUAUAGAACUUUUGUGAGAAGUUAAUAUCUCUGUAAUCUCAUCAUCUUUUGUAAACCAUCUUUCAUUCUAAAUAAAGCUUAGAGCUGUGCUGUUUCAACCGUGGAUGUAGGCUUUUUGUGGCCGAACCACGUUACAUCUUCUUGCCUUUAUCUUUUAUAUUCUUGGUAUCUUUGGUUGUUUGGUUUAGAUCUUUAGUGAGAAUACAUUUGUUCGUAUGCUUGUUUUCUUAAAGAAGCUUGAAAGUGCUGGGCUAAGUUCUUAACACACAUCCUAGCCAUUUGCAUGGAGUACAAGAGACACAAGGACGGGGUAGAUCUUUCUGCGAUCAUUGCCAGAAAUAUGGGCAUAUAAAAGCCAAAUGUUACAAAAUUGUUGGCUACCCACCAAACUGGAAACAUUCAAAUCGAUCGCAUGUUGCUGCUCCUACAACCACAAAGCCACAACAACUAGAUGAUCAUCCCAUUCCAACAGACAAGAAUGCAUCAUCUCAGCCUACUAUCCAAAUUCCUGGUCUCACGGCUGAACAAUAUCAACAAUUAUUAUCUAUACUUUCAACAAGUGAGCAACCAUCUACUGCAAACUUAGCUGGUAAAAUCUUUCCUUUUUGCAAUUCUGCUAUUAACUCAUAUAAUAAUUCUUGGAUAAUUGAUAGUGGGAAUCUGAUCACAUGACCCCUAAUAUUUCUUCCUUUAAAAAUUUUGUGCCCAUGUCUCAUGUCAAACCCGUGAGACUACCAAAUGGCACAACUGUUCCUACAACAAAAUGUGGAUCCAUUAAAUUAUCCUCCUCUUUGACUUUAGAUAAUGCCUUAUUGGUUCCUCAUUUUAAUUUUAAUCUAUUAUCUGUAAGCAAGCUAACCAAGGAUUUGAACUGUGCUGCUAUAUUUUUUUCCUUCAUUUUGUGUUUUUCAGGACCUUUCAACGAAGAAGCUGAUUGGAAAGGGUGAAGUUUGGGAUGGACUAUAUUAUUAUGAGCUUAUCAAUGGUCAUUCUUCCCUUCCUUCAGUAAUGAACGUUGCAAAGGAACCCAAUUCCAAUCUUUGACAUUUGCGACUCGGUCACCCUUCUAAAGACCGAAUGCAGCGUUUGUCUUUUAUUUCUGAUAUUGCAUCAUUUAAUUCUUGUUGUGAAAUUUGUCAACUUUCAAAAAACACUAGAAGUUCAUUUCAAUUGAAUAAAAAUCAUUCUGAUAUGCCAUUUCAAUUAAUUUUUUGUGAUAUUUGGGGACCUCAUCGCACAUCUACAUAUACGGGAGCAUAUUAUUUUCUUACUAUUGUUGAUGACCAUACUCGUUGUACUUGGGUUUACCUCAUACGGCACAAGUUUGAAGCUUUUCAAUUAUUAAAAAAUUUUUACUUCUUGAUCAAGACACAAUUUCACACACAAAUUAAAAAAAAAAAUUUGUAUUAAUCAAGGAAGUGAAUUUUUAUCAAAUCAGAUGCAAUUUUUUUCAUGAGCAUGGCAUCUUGCAUGAACACACUUGUGUUGAAACACCUCAACAAAAUGGGGUAGCAGAACGCAAGUAUCGACAUAUUUUAGAAGUUGCACGUGCAUUAUGUUUUCAAGCACAUUUACCUUUGUCUUUCUGGGGAGAUUGUGUUUUAGUUGCAACCCAUUUAAUUAAUCGUAUACCCACUCCUAAUCUUGGUGGUCAAUCACCUUAUGAAAUGCUUUUUAAGACUAAACCUCACUAUGAUCUUCUUCGUGUCUUUGGCUGUCUUUGUUAUGCUCAUACCAACAGUGCUAAUCGUCAUAAAUUUGCUUCCCGUGCUACCAAGUGUAUAUUUGUUGGUUACCCAUUUGGGUAUCUCGGAUACAAAGUUUAUGAUAUCAUUAAUAAAAAGACUUUUAUUUCUCGUGAUGUUACUUUUGUGGAAACUGAAUUCCCAUUCAAAACUAUCACCAAUCAACAAGAAAAUAGCAAUCUUUUACCUCUUCCUAUCAUACUUCCUGCCAAUGAAAAUGCACAGCUCCUUCCAACUUCUUCCAAUGAAAAGCCACUCCACCAAGGUACAUCUGAUUCAAUAGUUCUCCCUUCUCCACCUCUUCGACGAUCCCAACGACAGUCUUGUCGUCCAAAUUAUCUUCAGAAUUAUAUUUUCUCUACUGCACUUCACGGUACAUUUGGCAACUCUAUUACUUUUACUAAUCAUCCACCAUUGGUAAGUUCUUUAUAUCCAUUAUCCAAGUAUUUAUCAUAUGACAAGUUUUCUAGUGAUCAUGUAGCCUUUCUUUAAGCUAUAUCUCACGGUGUUGAACCAACUACAUAUUCUCAAGCCGUUCAACAUGCUUAUUGGCGCAAUGCUAUGGAUAUAGAGAUUAAAGCUUUGGAGCAAAGUAACACUUGGACAAUACAAGAUCUACCCCCCGGCAAGAAACCAAUUGGUUGUAAAUGAGUGUUUAAAAUUAAAAGAAAAGCUGAUGGUUCUAUUGAUAGAUACAAAGCAUGCCUUGUUGCUAAAGGAUACACACAAACUGAAGGUUUGGAUUACCAUGAGACAUUUGCACCUGUUGCAAAACUUGUGACUGUUAGAUGUGUAUUGGCAAUGGCAGCUAUUCGAGGGUGGUUAUUAUUUCUGUUAGAUGUUCAUAAUGCAUUUCUUCAUGGCAACUUGCAUGAGGAAAUUUAUAUGACCUUACCUCCAGGAGUUCGUAAACAGGGGGAGUCUUAUCAAUUUUGUCGGUUAAACAAGUCCCUUUAUGGUCUUAAGCAAGCUUUUCAAAAAUUGGUUUGAAAAAUUCUCAUCCGCUCUUAAACAAAUUGGUUACAUUCAAUUUUGUGCUGAUUCUUGUUUAUUUACUAAUAUGCACGAUUCUCAUUUUACAUUGGUGCUUGUGUAUGUUGAUGAUAUAAUAAUUGCUGGUAACCAUCUUGACACUAUAACUGCAUUGAAGAUAUUUUUACAGGCUCAAUUUCAUAUUAAAGACUUGGGAACUUUGAAAUAUUUUUUAGGAAUUGAAGUGGCUCGUUCAAAGCAAGGGAUUUUCUUAAAUCAAAGGAAAUAUGCUUUAGAUAUACUUCAAGACAGUGGACAAUUAGGCACACGGCCAUCUUCUUUUCCAAUGGAAUAAAACUUGAAGCUCUCUAACGAUCAAGGAACCCUUUGUCAAAAUCCUGACCACUACUAACCACUGUCAUAGGAUGUCUCAUCUAUUUGACAAUCACCCGGCCAGAAAUUACAUAUGCUGUGAACAUACUUAGUCAAUUUAUGCACACUCCAAGACGACCACAUUAUGAUGUUGCCCUGCGUGUCUUACGUUACAUUAGAUCUUCUCCCGGCGCUGGUAUCCUCUUGUCCUCCGCUAGCUCUUUGGAACUCUCUGCCUUCUCAGAUUCAGAUUGGGCAAGUUGCCCCAUGACCCGUCGAUCCACCACUGAAUAUAUUAUCAUGCUCGGCAACAAUCCUAUUUCUUGGAAAACCAAGAAGCAACCAUUUGUAUCGCGCUCUUCCGCUGAAGCCGAAUAUCGAGCAAUGGCGACAACAACAUGUGAAUUGGUUUGGUUGAAAACUCUACUUCAUGAUCUUCAUGUGACCCAUCCAAUGCCUAUAACUUUACAUUGUGACAAUCAAGUUGUGCUUCAUAUCGCUGCGAAUCCCAUCUUCCAUGAGCGUACCAAGCACAUAGAAAUAGACUGCCAUCUUGUUCGUGAAAAGCUUCAUGCCAAAAUCAUUUCCUUAACUUAUGUGCCUUCACGACAACAAUUGGCUGACAGUUUUACCAAAGUUCUUGGUAAAGAUCAAUUUCAAUAUCUUCUUGGCAAGUUGGGAGUUACGGAUCUUCACUUUCCAACUUGAGGGGGAGUAUUAGAACAAGAAUCAAUCGGUCCUUGAUCUUAGCCACUAACUUAGCAUAUUGUAAUAUUCAUUCUCCUUUAUAUUCUUUCCUUUUCUAUUAUUUGACUGUUUGGUACUUGCCUUAGAUGAUUAUAGUAUUUUGGUAUAUAAGGAUCUUGUACACAGCAACAAAUAUAUAUGACCAUUUCCACAAUUCUUUACAGGAAGUAAGGAACAACUUCAUAGAUCCAUUAUUCUUAAAUUAUAAAAAUACAUAAACAACAUAUGUAUAUGAUUUUAGACAAAUCAAGAUAGUUUAAUUCAUACCUUUGUGAGUGAGAUCAAAGGAGGGAUAUUAUCAUAUUACCUCUUAAUGGCUAGAGACUCGUGUUGAUAAUGUGUUAUAUCAUUUAUCAAUUGGGAGUGCAACAAUAUAGCAAGAGAAAUAAAGAAGGCAAAUAAGAGACACAAUGUUUAGAGGGGAAUUUUAUUCAAUCUCAAAUAUAUACAAAUAGGAAGCAAAGGCCUGCUUUUAUAGUGAUACAAGCAUAAAGUAGUAAGUAAUACCUCGUAAUUAUAAGAGAUGACAAUCCUCAGAUUAGGGAGAUAAUGAGAGUUAUAAAAGAUGGAAAGUUACUUGUGAGGAGAUCGAAGAUUGCUUUGAUGAACAUCCACAUAUAUUAUAAUAAUUUCAUAACAUACAUUUACUUUUAAUUUAUUUUUAAGGUUAAUUGGUUAAUAAGCUUCUUGUGUAGUAGAUUGAUUAAUGUGCCCAAGAAUAUUGUUGGAUGCUAUUAUUUUAAAGGCAAAGAAAAAUAAGGCAUAAGUGUCACAUGUUCAAUAGCAGGGAUGUUUUGAGGAAUUUCUUAAAAUAAAAAGACUAAGUAGAUCUUUAGCCCAAAAUAUAGGGAUUAAGCAAGCAUUCAUCCUAUUGAAAAGCAAAGUAAACUAAUGUAACCAUAAUUGAAUAUAAAGUUAACUCUUCUAUGGCAUUAUAGAGAACAAAAGAAGGAAAAAUAUUAUUCAAAUUCAAGAUAAGAAGGUAGUUUAUUAACUGUCUAAAGUUCAAAAUUUUAUUAAUUUCAGACCUUUUUUAAAAUUUACUUAUUUGUUUUUUUGUAACUUAUGUUUGAUUUUUAGAUAUUUACAUCUGAAUAGAAAAAGUAAGAUUUUUUGACUUUUAUCUAAAUGGAAAAAGAUCUGAAUGAUUAGUAAAUAUUAUAUUCCAUAAAUAUCUCUAUAAAAUAACUUAUUUCCUAAUCUAUAAAAUAGAAUCCCCUUUUUUUAUUUUGAUUUACAAGGACGUAAAUGUCAAAGAACUAAGUUUAAGAUGUUUUUUAUUAUAAAAACAAAUAAGAUGCCACUUACAUUCAUAUAUUAAAAAAUGAAAAACAAACAUGUGAUUCAAAUUUUCGUAUUCAAACCCAUUCAAACUUGAAAAAAAUUUAGACACAUUCAAAUUUCAGACAAAAAAGACAAAUACUACUUCAAUUUUUUUUUCGCUUUGCAACUGCCCACUGCUAACCAAAUAAAAAAAGAUUUUCAAUUUGGAAUUAUGUUAUCCAACAUAUGAAGACAAUUCUUCCUUUGAACGAAUCUUUAUGAUUGUUUUCUGAACGAAUAUUGCUCUAAAUUAAAAUAUUUUAGAACAAAAAAUAGUUGAUUGCCAAAUGUACAAUAGGUACAAUUUUCUUUUUUCAGCUCUCUUUUGGAAGAGAACUAUGUCGUCCUUUAUAAUUAUUAUUUCUUGAAAGAAUACAAACUUAAAUUACUGGCUUUUUAUUUGUAAAAUCAUAUAAAAUAGACUCUUUUAAGGAAAAUAUCUCAUACCGGAGAUAAUAAUUUCUGGACUAAGAAUAUAAACUUAAAACAGCACUACUAUCAAAUUAUCUUUAAAAGAGUUCCUUGAUCAAAAGAAUUUAUUUAUCAUUUUUCACAGUUUAAAAAAAUAAAAAAAAUUACAUAGAAAUAAUUGGAAGAUUUCCUAAAUAAGCAUCAAAUAAAUGCUAAUUUAUUGCAUGAUACUUGGAAGAAACCAUAAAUAAAAAUUAAGGAUUUAUAAUUUUAAAGACAAGUUGGGAGUUUAAAUUUUCUUGCCAUCUUGAGGGAGAAUAAUAAGACCGAAAUAAUAUUGAUGAAACAAAAUAAUCAAUCAAAUAUUUGAUUGUCUUCAUCUUAAUCAGUGAUCAAGAAAAAUUGGUUGUUAAUUAACAUAAAAAUUGAUUGACUCAAUAUUUACUAAUAGAUCAUUAUUCCCAAAUUAUGUUAAUUAUAUAUAUUUCAAAUACUUAUAAGAAUUGAGUUUGCUUACGGUUUAUUAAAUAUAGUCUCUUAAAAGUUUACAUGUGGCCCAUACAAAGCUAACAUUACUCUGUUAUAGCAUUUCGGGCAUCCAACAAGAUCCUCUUCUUCACUUAUUGUUAGAACUAGAGCUAACAAAUUAAUUACUUAAUCACGGCUAAGUUUGGAAUUAAAAUCAAACUAAAUUAUCUAAUUGGUUGAGUUCGGUUUCCGUUUGUAUGGGCUACAUGAAAUUUUUUCUCUCAUCUUCUCUCGUCUGCUAAUCGCAUCUUUCUCUCUUUCGACUCUCUAAUUUCUCUCUUGGAUUUGGUUACCAAGCACAUAAAAUUGAAGCCACCAUCUCGCUCAUAACAAACAACUAGUCGGAUCCACCAAACUGUUGCUGUCAUCUUGAGCCAUUCAAGUAACUUGAACACAUCAUCUUCUCGUAAAUUCUCUUUCAUUUUCGAAUUAAAGACAAGGUAAGGAUGUAAUCUUGACUUUUGUGUUUUUUGUGAUGACUACAGAAAAUGCUAUAUGAAACAAUUAGGGAUUUAUGUGCUAUAUAAUAAUAAUAAUAAUAAUAAUAAUAACAACAACAACAACAACAACAAGUAGUCAUUUAUGAAUUUUGAGUGAAAAAAUAGGGAUUUAUGUGCUUCUUCUUCUUCUUCUUCUUCUUCUUCUUAUUAUUAUUAUUAUUAUUAUUAUUUUCCCUAUAUUAAACAAGUAGUCAUUUAUGAAUUUUGAGUGAAAAAUUCACUCGGCUGUGGCAAAUUUUGUGCCUUACAAGUAGUCGAUUUCACGCAUUCAUCAUCACCAUUACUAUGUUCAUUAUUAUUUGCUAUUGUUUUUUACUUUUUCUGCUGUUAUUGAUUAAAUUGACAUUAAAUUUAUGUCUUGUUCAUUACAAGACUUAGGGUGCGUUUGGGAUUGAGGUUGGGCAGCUGUAGCUUAAAAGCUACAGCACUAAAGUGUUUGGUAAACACUAGCUGUUGUAGCUUUUAAGAUAUGUUGAUAUGAUUUUUCACUUGUAUAAUAUAAAAUUUAUUAUAUCUUUAAUAAUUUUAUCAAAAUUAUUAUUUAAAAUUUAUAUUUACUAUUAUUAUUAACUUUUGUUUUAUAAUUACAGCUUUUUUUUCACAGCAGCUGUAGCUUAAAAGCUACAGCACCUCAAUCCCAAACGCACCCUUAACAAUAUAAUCCAGUUGUAACAUGGACACUACAGAUGAUACAAGUGCGCAAGACCUAGUCAGAGAGCGUAGUACACUUUUUGUAAGUAUAAACUAAUUGAUAUUUUUCGAGUUGUUAUGUUAGCAACCAUUUUAAAAACACUUUUGUUUUCGAAUUUUGGUUACGUUGAAGUGAAGGGGAUUGAGUUGCCAUUAAAAAUCAAAGUAUUUUGGUCUUUAUAAACAAAGCGCUUUUGUGGAAUAGAUCUAAGAAGAUGCUAAUCUUCUUAAUAAAUUUUUUUUAAAAAAAAUUCUAUUACUCUUGGUGCAACAAAUUUCCUAGUCCCAAAACCUUGUCAUAGAAAAAAAAAAAAAAAAAAAAAGAAAACAGAAAAAGAGUGAAAAUCUCUUCGGUCAACCAAAUUACUCAAAUUCGUAAAAUAAUAUAAUACUUGAACCUUAAAAAUAAAAGCUCUAUAUAUUACUAUAUAAACAGUGAUAAACACAAUUACUAUCUAAGCCCACUCGAAGUUUUAUCAUACAGUCGUAUAUUUAUCACCUUAUGUACGUAUAUUGUAAUUUGGAUACGUUAUUUAAUUGUAUUUAUAUUGUGUAUAUUUACCACAUUAUGUACGUAUAUAAAAUAUAACGUAUAUUGUGUAAACUCUACUAUAAACAAUUAAUAUUUGGUCAUAUUUCUUUUGGCAAAUAACCCCCUGGGAUUUCUUCUUUAUCGCAACAUGAAAUUGAAGAUAUUUAAAAGGUUUUGAAACGUUAUUUUUAUUGAAUGGAGUUGCCAUUUUUAAUUUUGGUUGCAAAUAAUAAUUCCUUGGUGGUUACAAUAUUUUUAAAUAUCCCCAUUAAGGCUGUAGGGGCUACAAAUCUUCAUUCUAGAUCUGUAACAUAUGACUAUGAAUUAUAUAUAAAUGAGCUAUUUUUCUUUAUCUUUGGAUAUAUUAUAUACUCUAUUGUUUUCUCCGAAACUCUACGAUAAACAAUUAAUACUUUUCUUUGCAACUUCGACAAAUGAGCUAAGGAAUGUUAAUGCAUUCAUUAAUUAUUCAAUUUCUUAUCUAAAGACUAAGAUUCUUUUAUUUUUUAUUCUAUCAAUUUAUUAUUAUCGUAAAACAAUUGCGGGUGAGUAUAUUUAAACUCAUUAGAUCACUUCCUAUAUCCUAAAUCAAUAAAUAAUUUUAUUACAAAAUUACUGAAAAAUCCUUUUAAUUUCUUGAAUACCCAAAAAGUAAAAUUACCAUUCUAGAUGGAGGAUAAAUCUUUAAAACUGCCUUAAACGCAUCUUAUUUGUUCAUACACACACAAGUUAUUAAACAACCAUGGAUGUUGAACCAAAGUGUCAAACUUAGUUUCUGGUUGUCAAAUUUUCUUCCUAUUGGACAUCUAAAUCGUUUUGUAGUCAGUAACAUAGUCAGAAAAUCAAAUUAGUGGGGUAGAAUGACUGACAUAAAAUAUAAAGAAAUUUUUUUACUGUGUUCUUUAUCUAUUUUUCUAAUAUUUUUAGCAUUCCUCCUUACAUAUGUCUUAAUAGCAUGUUUAAUUUGAAGAAAUAAAAUAAGAAGAGAUGAGAGAUAAGGAGAAUGGGAACAAUAAAUAAUGGAAAAAGAGAUAUAAUUAUAUAUUAAAUUAAACAAUGAAAUUGAGAAUGAUCCUAUUUUUUCCCUCAUUUUUGAUCACUUACUCUAAGGAACCAGAACUUUAAGGAAAGACAGACAAAUCAUAAAGAUUGAAGAGCAGGAAUUUUUGUUCUCCUUUUUAAAUAAAAAAUUUCAUUUCAAUGGAUUUUUAUUAUUAAAUUAGUCUUUCUCUAAAUCAGAUCAAAUAUAUUAGAUCUUAAAUCUUGUUUUUAAUGAAAUUAAUUACGUUUUGGGCAUUUAAAUUAUGAAAUUGGACAAGAUUUGUGUGUGAUUUUAAAAUAAAUAUGAACUUGAAUUUGAUGCAUUUAAUUAAUCCAAAGAGGCAAAUUUAUAAUUUCAACUUCUAAAUAAAACAUAUCAUUUGAAUUUUAUCAGUGGUUUCUAACAAUAACUGACAGGUCAUUAUAAUAAUUAUAAAUGUAAUAUUUAUUUUUAUAAUUAUACAGUUAUGAUCAAUGCUAUGCUGUAGUGCCGUUCCAAAGGCAACUGCUCCCACUAUAAUUAUAAUCAUUAAGCAAGAACUUGCAAAAGCAACUUAAUUACAAGUAAUCUUUCCUCUGUUCUUAUUUUCAGUUCAAUUUGGUCCCGAGAAUAAUGAUGUUGACGACAACAAAAAUAAUAAUUGAUGCAUCUUGCUGUUUAAUAAGGCAAGCUCGAAAUAAAUCAAAUCCUAGUCAUACAAAAAUUCAAAUGAUAUGAGCCAUGAUCUCUUGCCAAGCUUCAGACAAGUUAAAUUAUAAGAGGAUCUUGAUAAGUUAAAUUAUGAACAGACAUUUACGCUGUGGACCCAUUCAUGCAUCCCCGUUUCGAUUUUGCAAUUUAACGUAGCCGUUAAUCUUACCUAGCCAUGUGUACGAGAAAAACUCCGCCGUCGAUCCGUAUAUGUAAGCACCAAGCAUGCAUUAUUAUUUUACCAAUUAUAAAGCACCGACACCCAGGGCCAGCCUAGAAUUAUAAUACUAUUUUUUUUUUUGGAUCAGGACGAAAUUAUUAUUGAAUAAUAAUUAAAACAAAAAAAAUCUGAAUCUUUCUAUGAUUGUAUCAACUUAUUAUGCAUGCCUAUGUUAUUGCCCAGUUGCCUAUGUUAUUGACAUCUACUACGAAGUUAGAAAUUGGUCUUAAUUAAUUAGAUAUGUUUCGAAAUUGGUCUUAAUUAAUUAGAUGCAUUUCUCAUUUGAAUUAUUUGGAGACGUGUAUAAUACAGGUCAAGUUUUCUAAUAAGAGGUUAGUGACUUUAUUUCUUUUAUUGGCUCAUAUUGAUUUAUGUGGCUAUCAUUCCUAGCUAAUUCGAUUAUUUAUCAAUAAUUUUAUUGAACAAAUUGAUUUAUUGGUUAAAAUAAGUUGUUCUUAUUAUUGUUUUUGACUAGAAGGUCUCAAUAAAGUUGGAAUAAAUAAAUUUUCAUCUAUGUCUCGCACUUACGUAAAAUAAAAGAAAAAAUCAUAAUUACAAAGAAAUUAAGAACCAAUGUCAAUCAUGUAAAAUCAAAUAUUUAAACAAUCAAAAUUUUAUCACUUCUGAGUUUAAGACUUUUUUCUUUCAUAUGUUAGAAAAUAAAAUUUUGAUGGAAUUUUUUUUUUUUAAAAUGAAAUUGGGAAUUAGAAAAUUUCAUUUCCAAGACUUUUUUCUUUCAAAUUAAGACUGCACGUGAUAAUUGCGGUUAGUUUUCCCCUGUUAUCAAUUAUUGCCACCGGAUGGGACCCACGUAAUUCGUCUAAUUGAACUGUACCCGGUUAUUCGCAAUCCACACCGGGCAAACUUGAAUCAUCUAUAUAUAUUACAUCAAAUUGUCAAAUCGGAAGCGAGAACUCGAAAAAGUAAUUUAGUAAAACUCGCCGCCUAUAAAAUUCAAAACCGAGGGCCAAGACGAAGUAUUCACUCAAGGACCGCGAGUCACGCAUUGUGGUGUGAACGGUUACCAAAACAACGAAAAUGAACCAACGUCUUUGCUGUCUUAUUGUUCUCUUUCUCUCCGUGGUCCCUCUCCUGGCCGCCGGCGACCGUAAAGGAGCGUUGGUUGGGGGAUGGAAGGCGAUAGAGGACCCCAAGGAGAAGCACGUGAUGGAGAUUGGGCAGUUCGCGGUGACGGAGUACAACGAACGGUCAAAGAGCGCGUUGAAGUUUGAGAGCGUGGAGAAGGGCGAGACUCAGGUGGUUUCCGGCACCAAUUACCGGCUGAUCUUGGUCGUCAAGGACGGUCCUUCGAUCAAGAAAUUUGAAGCUGUCGUUUGAGAGAAGCCAUGGGAGCAUUUCAAGAGUCUCACCUCGUUUAAGCCUAUGUUUGGGGGAUGGACUCCGAUAGACCCCACGGAGAAGCACGUGAUGGAGAUCGGGCAGUUCGCGGUGACGGAGUACAACAAACGGUCAAAGAGCGCGUUGAAGUUCGAGAGGGUGGAGAAGGCCGAGACUCAGGUGGUUUCCGGCACCAAUUACCGGCUGAUCUUGGUCGUCAAGGACGGACCUUCGACCAAGAAAUUUGUAGCUGUCGUUUGGGAGAAGCCAUGGGAGCAUUUCAAGAGUCUCACCUCGUUUAAGCCUAUGUUUGGGGGAUGGACUCCGAUAGACCCCACGGAGAAGCACGUGAUGGAGAUCGGGCAGUUCGCGGUGACAGAGUAAUACAAACGGUCAAAGAGCGCGUUGAAGUUCGAGAGCGUGGAGAAGGCCUGGACUCAGGUGCUUUCCGGCACCAAUUACCGGCUGAUCUUGGUCGUCAAGGACGGACCUUCGACCAAGAAAUUUGAAGCUGUCGUUUGGGAGAAGCCAUGGGAGCAUUUCAAGAGUCUCACCUCGUUUAAGCCUAUGUUUGGGGGAUGGACUCCGAUAGACCCCACGGAGAAGCACGUGAUGGAGAUCGGGCAGUUCGCGGUGACAGAGUACAACAAACGGUCAAAGAGCGCGUUGAAGUUCGAGAGCGUGGAGAAGGCCUGGACUCAGGUCGUUUCCGGCACCAAUUACCGGCUGAUCUUGGUCGUCAAGGACGGACCUUCGACCAAGAAAUUUGUAGCUGUCGUUUGGGAGAAGCCAUGGGAGCAUUUCAAGAGUCUCACCUCGUUUAAGCCUAUGUUUGGGGGAUGGACUCCGAUAGACCCCACGGAGAAGCACGUGAUGGAGAUCGGGCAGUUCGCGGUGACAGAGUAAUACAAACGGUCAAAGAGCGCGUUGAAGUUCGAGAGCGUGGAGAAGGCCUGGACUCAGGUGCUUUCCGGCACCAAUUACCGGCUGAUCUUGGUCGUCAAGGACGGACCUUCGACCAAGAAAUUGUUAGCUGUCGUUUGGGAGAAGCCAUGGGAGCAUUUCAAGAGUCUCACCUCGUUUAAGCCUAUGCUUGGCGGAUGGACUCCGAUAGACCCCACGGAGAAGCACGUGAUGGAGAUCGGGCAGUUCGCGGUGACAGAGUACAUCAAACGGUCAAAGAGCGCGUUGAAGUUCGAGAGCGUGGAGAAGGCCUGGACUCAGGUGGUUUCCGGCACCAAUUACCGGCUGAUCUUGGUCGUCAAGGACGGACCUUCGACCAAGAAAUUUGAAGUUGUCGUUUGGGAGAAGCCAUGGGAGCAUUUCAAGAGUCUCACCUCGUUUAAGCCUAUGCUUGGGGAUGGACUCCGAUAGACCCCACGGAGAAGCACGUGAUGGAGAUCGGGCAGUUCGAGGUGACGGAGUGCAAUAAACGGUCAAAGAGCGCGUUGAAGUUCGAGAGCGUGGAGAAGGCCUGGACUCAGGUGGUUUCCGGCACCAAUUACCGGCUGAUCUUGGUCGUCAAGGACGGACCUUCGACCAAGAAAUUUGAAGCUGUCGUUUGGGAGAAGCCAUGGGAGCAUUUCAAGAGUCUCACCUCGUUUAAGCCUAUGUUUGGGGGAUGGACUCCGAUAGACCCCACGGAGAAGCACGUGAUGGAGAUCGGGCAGCUCGCGGUGACGGAGUACAACAAACGGUCAAAGAGCGCGUUGAAGUUCGAGAGCGUUUAGAAGGCCGAGACUCAAGUGGUUUCCGGCACCAAUUACCGGCUGAUCUUGGUCGUCAAGGACGGACCUUCGACCAAGAAAUUUGUAGCUGUCGUUUGGGAGAAGCCAUGGGAGCAUUUCAAGAGUCUCACCUCGUUUAAGCCUAUGUUUGGGGGAUGGACUCCGAUAGACCCCACGGAGAAGCACGUGAUGGAGAUCGGGCAGUUCGCGGUAACAGAGUACAACAAACGGUCAAAGAGCGCGUUGAAGUUCGAGAGCGUGGAGAAGGCCUGGACUCAGGUCGUUUCCGGCACCAAUUACCGGCUGGUCUUGGUCGUCAAGGACGGACCUUCGACCAAGAAAUUGUUAGCUGUCGUUUGGGAGAAGCCAUGGGAGCAUUUCAAGAGUCUCACCUCGUUUAAGCCUAUGCUUGGGGGAUGGAAUCCGAUAGACCCCACGGAGAAGCACGUGAUGGAGAUCGGGCAGUUCGCUGUGACAGAGUACAACAAACGGUCAAAGAGCGCGUUGAAGUUCGAGAGCGUGGAGACGGCCUGGACUCAGGUGGUUUCCGGCACCAAUUACCGGCUGAUCUUGGUCGUCAAGGACGGACCUUCGACCAAGAAAUUUGUAGCUGUCAUUUGGGAGUAGCCAUGGGAGCAUUUCAAGAGUCUCACCUCGUUUAAGCCUAUGCUUGGGGGAUGGACUCCGAUAGACCCCACGGAGAAGCACGUGAUGGAGAUCGGGCAGUUCGCGGUGACAGAGUACAACAAACGGUCAAAGAGCGCGUUGAAGUUCGAGAGCGUUGAGAAGGCUUGGACUCAGGUGGUUUCCGGCACCAAUUACCGGCUGAUCUUGGUCGUCAAGGACGGACCUUCGACCAAGAAAUUUGAAGCUGUCGUUUGAGAGAUGCCAUGGGAGCAUUUCAAGAGUCUCACCUCGUUUAAGCCUAUGCUUGGGGGAUGGACUCCGAUAGAGCCCACGGAGAAGCACGUGAUGGAGAUCGGGCAGUUCGCGGUGACAGAGUACAAUAAACGGUCAAAGAGCGCGUUGAAGUUCGAGAGCGUUGAGAAGGCUUGGACUCAGGUGGUUUCCGGCACCAAUUACCGGCUGAUCUUGGUCGUCAAGGACGGACCUUCGACCAAGAAAUUUGUAGCUGUCGUUUGGGAGUAGCCAUGGGAGCAUUUCAAGAGUCUCACCUCGUUUAAGCCUAUGCUUGGGGGAUGGACUCCGAUAGACCCCACGGAGAAGCACGUGAUGGAGAUCGGGCAGUUCGCGGUGACGGAGUACAACAAACGGUCAAAGAGCGCGUUGAAGUUCGAGAGCGUGGAGAAGGCCUGGACUCAGGUGCUUUCCGGCACCAAUUACCGGCUGAUCUUGGUCGUCAAGGACGGACCUUCGACCAAGAAAUUUGAAGCUAUCGUUUGGGAGAAGCCAUGGGAGCAUUUCAAGAGUCUCACCUCGUUUAAGCCUAUGGUUAAAUAGGGUGUUUAACAAAUAACAAAUGCAUGUAAUUGUUAAAUAAAGGAUAGGUAUACUAUUACCUAUCAAUCAUGGCAAUGUCUUAGUCUGUUUUAGUUCAACUUAUAAGAUUUCUUGAGAUGUACAAGAGAUCUUUUUGUUUACUUUUGAGCCAAGUAUUUUCCUGAAAAAGGAAAUAAAUCAAUAAAAAUUAUUGUGUGUCAACAUAUUGGUUAUAUUAGUCUAUACACGUCGGUUUUAAUUACCAUAUCUCCUCCUAAAUAUUUUACUUUUUUUGAAACAAGCUCAAAAAUUUGUUGUAUAAAAAACACUAUCACUUUCAAUCAUAACGUCCUCCUGGUCCUCCAUUGGGGAUAUUAUAGUGUGUCAUUCUGUAACCCAGAACUAUCAUUUAUUCCACCUCUACGAUAUCUUGUAAUGUUACUUGCAGCUUCAUAAGCCACAGAAACAUCAUCAAAAUCAACAAAUUGUUUUCUUUUCUUUUUUUUUAGGAAAGUAAUAAGAAAAAUAAAAGCUGCAUUAUUCUAUUUAUGAUCAAUAGAAGAAUUCAAGUGACUGGAGAAAAUUCAGAUUGUUCAAAAUGGGUUCUCAAACGAGAUAAGCCUCAGGUAGUAGACCUCACCAACAUCAAUACCAGACUCAAUCCAUUGAAUCGGUCUCGUCUUAAGCCUAACAGCUCCCUUCUAAUAUAAUCUAGUGAGAACGGUGAGGUGCUUGGUAUAUCAUACACCAAAAAUCAACGAUGCUUGGACUUUCAAGAAAAAGAGAAAAACAAAUGCAUGCACGGGGAAACGUACUAAUAAAAAGCAAAUCAUAUAAUUUACAAAUUAUUAUAGGCUUGUAGCCAUAAGAUCGAGAGAAACUAAAACAUUUCUUGCAUUUUCUGGCCAUAUUUUCUAAAUGAAGGGAUGGUCCAUUGCUGCUCUGCCAUACUGGAUCUCAAGAUGUCGUUAACAAUAGGUCUCAAGAUGUCACUAAAUUAUUGCCAGCAAAUGAUAUUUCGAGUCAAAAAAGUAUAUUCAAUUAUUGCAUAUAUGCUCCUAGGUAAUUUGCACAAUUGAAUUAUAGCUGUUAAUCUACUUAUUUACACAAUUGAUUAAUUUACGCAUCCAUUGCAAGACUUUCGCACUAGGUUUCAAUUUCAACCACAAAUCCUAGCUCUAGAUAAAAAUGAUGUGGUCGUAGAGAUUUCGAAUGUAUUCACUUUGUGAUUAACGGAAGCAUUGCUUUCAUUUGUAAGACGUUAAAUCAUCAUUUUGGUAAAGGAAAAAGAAUGAAAAAAGCUGCACUAUUUUAAAGGCCAUUUGGUAUAUGACCACUUCCCAUUGGACUUGGAGACCGGGUAAUUUUGUCAUCUCCACUCCUAGAAUCUGCUCUCAUGCUACUUGCAUGGUUCCAUCUUUGAAGUCUGGUACUGUUUUGUUUGGAAAAUACCCCACUAUAAUAUCUUCACGAAGAAAAUUGAUCCCCGUUAACUAGCGUGAUUAGCUUAGUUUCUUAAAUUCAACGUUCGUUUGGUUAAUUGUCUGUUAGUUUAGAAUUUUGAUUAGCCAAUAAAACAAUGAGUUUUAUUGUUUAAUAAGGCAAGUUGAAAUAAAUUCAAUCCUACUCACAGAAAAAUUUAAAUGACACAUAUCAUAAUCUUUUUCAUAUCUUCAGAAAAAUUAAAUCAUAAGAGGAUCAUGAACAAUUUGAUGAUGCUCUGAAAUAUAGUCUUCUGUUUUUCAAGGAAAAAAUAAGGAAGUUAAAAACAUGUUUAUCAGGUUUUUCAGAGAUCAUUUUGACGUUUUUGUUUAAAAACAUGAAAAUUGUUCUUAUUCUCGUAAAACAGAAAAAAUUAUCUGGCCGGUUAGCUAAUUAUUCUUGUUCUUCUGUUCUUUUUUAUUUGAAUUGUUUCUCCCUUUUCCAUUCAUUUUUCACUAUGAAAUUAAUUACUAAUUAAUCUACAGUUAGUUUCUCUACAGCUAAUAGGAACGUGAUUUAUGCCCGAAGACUCGCAUCUUUUUUAUUCAUUAUCUACAGUGCCUCACCUCCAAUCUAUGUAUAGGCGGACAUGCAUAUUUAUUAUAUCAAAUAAGUUAUUGAUGGAAAUUUCACUUUCGAAAUAGAGAAUUAUCCUUAAUUAAAUCUUUGUGGGCCUAAAUUCGAGUAAGAUUUAAUGAUGUAUGAUUCAAAAUUAUUGAAAUCGGACAUUUUAAACAAGAAAAAAAUAAAAAAUCUUGUUCUCUUUUUUAAAUAAUAAAUUUCAUUUUGAUGGAUUUUUAAUAUUAAAUUAGACAUUUGCUAAAUUGGCUCAAAUAUAAUAGAUCUUAGACCUUGCUUUUAAUGGAUUUAAUUAGGUUUUGGGCAUUUAAAUUAUACAACUGGAGACAGAAUUUAUAAAUAGAUAAGAUUCUAAUGUGAUUUUAAAAUAAUUUUGAACUUGAACUUGAACUUGAUGCAUUUAAUUAAUCCAGAAAGGUAAAUUUAUAAUUUCAACUUUUAAAUAAAACAUAUCCUUUGGAUUUUUUACAUAAACUAGAGGCAAUUGUACAAUAUUUACUUGACUAGUGGUAUAUAUCCCAAAUUUUUUAUCCUAAGAAAUGCCACAUCAUUUGGUUGAUGAGGAUAAUAUAAUUAAUUCACUUAGAUAUUAUAAAAAAUUAUCAACCAAUCAAUGAAUAACAUAUCAUUUUCAUUGGGAUGAAAUUUGAAAAAAAAAUUUAGGACGUCUAUCAUUACUUUAGUAAGAAAGCAUAUUAAGAUGGACUGACAUGUUUGGAUGCCCCAGCCUAAGAUGCAAGAGAUCAAUUUCUUUUGUUGUCUUGAAAUCCCUACUAUUUGACUCAACAACAUUGGCAACAUUUAACUCAUUACUACUAGAACAAAAAGAUAUCAUAGACAAAGGAUUGCUAAUGCAAUUUAUUGACUCAUACUCUAAAGAUAGAGGUAACUCAACAGCACAUUCAAUCUUGCGCUACUCAUGCACAUUAGCUCAUAUAGCCUAUCUUUAGUCACUCCUUUCAUUAGGAUUUUCACUUGGCUAAAGCAAGUAGAUUUUUGAAGCACAACAUCAAUAUCAUUAUCACGGAACAAUUUUGAGACAUUAAUAAGGUUCUUAGUAAUGCUAGGCACAGACAACGAGCUGUUUAGUUUAAUCUGUUUGUGUGGAUCAUAAGUGAGCAAUAUAGAGUAUCCAAUAUGAGAAAUCAAAAGUUUAUCACCAUUUCCAACAGUAGCUCAUCAUUACCUUGAUAUUAUGAAUUAAAGCUCAUGCUUCCAAUAGCACUGGUUGCAUGAUUUGUAGCACCAUUGUCAAGGUACCAAGCUCUACUAUUCUCACCGUCAACUGCAACCACAUAUGCUCUUCUUGGAUCUCUUCUUCUAUUUGGCUGUGGAACUGAUAUGAACCCUAUUAAGAACUAACAUGACCCUAACCAAUUUAGUCUCUAAGAUUGAAACCAAUUUUUUAUUUUUUUUAGAAGAGAUUGAAACCAAAUCUAAAAUUGAAUGGAACCGCGAUUUGAUCUCAAUGAAAGUACGAACCUUGGUAUGUGAUGACGUCACAAUUAGCUAUGGAUGAUCUUAUUGAUAAGUCAAGAGUUUGAACGCCACAGAAAUGCGAUAAAUUCAAAGGGUUAGUUUAAGAACCAAAGAGAAUUAGCUUUCUCACCAAUUGCAUCAAAAUUGAUGCCUUUCUUAUUGGAUACGAGUACAUUAGAUAGGGUUGGUUUAUAAGAAUUUUAAGAAAUAAAUCCUAAACCAAAAUCAAAUCAGAAUCCUAAUUUAAAGCAAAUAAUGAAAGAAACUAAAUCAAACCAGAAUCCUUAUUGGCUUAAAUGCCUUGCAUCAAUUAAAAAUGGAAACAAGGCAAUUAAAAGAGAAAUAAUUGAUUCGUUUUGCCACUUGCCUACUCAAGAAAUGGGAAAGUAUCCUAAAAGGAAAGUAGUAUAUUUUCCAAACGAGAAAACAUCUGAUAAGGUAAAUAAUGUAUUUUCUAGCCAUAAUGUGCAAACCAACUUGCUGAUUUUAUGGAAAUGAUUAUGUGGAAACUUAAAAAGCCUGAAUCACGUAUUUAGUGGUCUGAAUAUCAUGUGCGCUUUCUUCAACGGGCCUCCACGAAUUUGAUUGAGCUCAAGUUGCUUAAAUCAACCCAUUAAGCGAUUUUUUGAAUUUUUUUGCACGAGCUCUUGUGAUGGGUCCAACAGGAACUUGAAUGGGAUAUGAAUAUACCUCAUCCCAUGUGCUUGUGACAGUUUUGUCCUCAAUAUCAUAUUUUUUCCUUCAAAGAAACAAUUUUGCUUCAUAUGGAAAAGGAAAUUCUUAUGUAGCCUUACAUGAUUUAUACAUAAACUCAUAAUAUUUGUGUAGUCCUUCAUGAACAUGUGAAAUAUACACUUAUAUAGUGAAUCCUUCAUGAACAAGAUGUUAGUGAAUAACAUCAUAAUUUUGGAAUAGUCUUUCAGGAACAUAUUUUGAAAGAAAAUCUUCAUUAUGUAUAGUGCGAUCCUUAGAGAUGCAUUCUUAAUUUUCUUUCAUUAUAUAUUAUAAUAUUCAUACUUUAGGAUGAAUAUUUUGAAUUUCAAGAAUAGAAAAUAUAUAAUAGCAAUUGAAUAUUAUAAUAUAAAAAAUCAAACAAUAACAAAAUCAAUCAAUGGAACAUUAAAUAAAUGUUGGAAUCCAAAUCUCAUAAAAUAUAUGUAAUCAUUAAUAAAGGAAGUAUUAGAACAAGAAUCAAUCGGUCCUUGAUCUUAGCCACUAACUUAGCAUAUUGUAAUAUUCAUUCUCCUUUAUAUUCUUUCCUUUUCUAUUAUUUGACCGUUUGGUACUUGCCUUAGAUGAUUCUAGUAUUUUUGUAUAUAAGGAUCUUGUACACAGCAACAAAUAUAUAUGAGCAUUUCCACAAUUCUUUACAUGGUAUCAGAGAAAAUUUUGCUCAUUUAUGCUUUUCUCUUUGACAAUCAUGUCUAGUAGUUUGAAUCCAAUAUCAGAAACAUCAAAUUCCCUCAUUACCGAUGCUUCUUCACCAUACUUUCUUCAUUCAUCUGAUCAUCCUGGAGCCAUUCUUGUAUCUAAUGUGCUAACAGGUGAUAAUUAUUCAACAUGGAAAAUAUCCAUGAAGAUGGCAUUAAAUGCCAAAAACAAAUUGGGUUUUAUUGAUGGAAGCAUACAAAAACCUUCAUCAACCUCACAAGAUUUAAAAACUUGGGAGCGAUGCAAUGACAUGGUCCUUUCAUGGAUGCUCAAUGGAAUAGAGAAAAAUCUUGCCAACAGCCUCAUUUAUUGUGAUACUCCACGCUCUCUUUGGCUUGGGUUGGAAGAACGUUUUUCACAAAGUAAUAAUCCACGGAUUUAUGAACUUAAGAGAGCCAUAUGCAAUCACUAGCAAGAGCAAAAAUCAUUAGUGAUUUAUUUUAAUACUUUGAAAUUUUAUUAGGAUGAAUUGUCCACAUUAACCACUAUUUCUUCUUGCAAGUGUGAAACUUCAUAUGAAUUGCAGGGAUUACUAGAGACUGAAAAGGUGUUUCAAUUCCUAAUGGGUCUCAAUGAUUCAUAUUCUUCGGUACGAAGUCAAAUCUUAGCCAUGGAACCACUUCCAAAUGUUGGAAAAACAUAUUCAAUUAUUCAUCAGGAAGAACGUCAACGACUUCUCCAUGUUUCCAGUCAACCAUCCAUUGAAUCAACAGCCUUGACAGCCAAUAAUAAGACUCAAAUGACCAGCUGUCAAAAUCAUUCACAUCCUAGCCAUUUGCAUGGAGUACAAGAGACACAAGGACGGGGUAGACCUUUCUGCGAUCAUUGCCAGAAAUAUGGGCAUAUAAAAGCCAAAUGUUACAAAAUUGUUGGCUAUCCACCAAACUGGAAACAUUCAAAUCGAUCGCAUGUUGCUGCUCCUACAACCACAAAGCCACAACAACUAGAUGAUCAUCCCAUUCCAACAGACAAGAAUUCCUGGUCUACUAUCCAAAUUCCUGGUCUCACGGCUGAACAAUAUCAACAAUUAUUAUCUAUACUUUCAACAAGUGAGCAACCAUCUACUGCAAACUUAGCUGGUAAAAUCAUUCCUUUUUGCAAUUCUGCUAUUAACUCAUAUAAUAAUUCUUGGAUAAUUGAUAGUGGGGCAUCUGAUCACAUGACCCCUAAUAUUUCUUCCUUUAAAAAUUUUGUGCCCAUGUCUCAUGUCAAACCCGUGAGACUACCAAAUGGCACAACUGUUCCUACAACAAAAUGUGGAUCCAUUAAAUUAUCCUCCUCUUUGACUUUAGAUAAUGCCUUAUUGGUUCCUCAUUUUAAUUUUAAUCUAUUAUCUGUAAGCAAGCUAACCAAGGAUUUGAACUGUGCUGCUAUAUUUUUUUCCUUCAUUUUGUGUUUUUUAGGACCUUUCAACGAAGAAGCUGAUUGGAAAGGGUGAAGUUUGGGAUGGACUAUAUUAUUAUGAGCUUAUCAAUGGUCAUUCUUCCCUUCCUUCAGUAAUGAACGUUGCAACGGAACCCAAUUCCAAUCUUUGACAUUUGUGACUCGGUCACCCUUCUAAAGACCGAAUGCAGCGUUUGUCUUUUAUUUCUGAUAUUGCAUCAUUUAAUUCUUGUUGUGAAAUUUGUCAACUUUCAAAAAACACUAGAAGUUCAUUUCAAUUGAAUAAAAAUCGUUCUGAUAUGCCAUUUCAAUUAAUUUUUUGUGAUAUUUGGGGACCUCAUCGCACAUCUACAUAUACGGGAGCAUAUUAUUUUCUUACUAUUGUUGAUGACCAUACUCGUUGUACUUGGGUUUACCUCAUACGGCACAAGUUUGAAGCUUUUCAAUUAUUAAAAAAUUUUUACUUCUUGAUCAAGACACAAUUUCACACACAAAUUAAAAAAAAAAUUUGUAUUAAUCAAGGAAGUGAAUUUUUAUCAAAUCAGAUGCAAUUUUUUUCAUGAGCAUGGCAUCUUGCAUGAACACACUUGUGUUGAAACACCUCAACAAAAUGGGGUAGCAGAACGCAAGUAUCGACAUAUUUUAGAAGUUGCACGUGCAUUAUGUUUUCAAGCACAUUUACCUUUGUCUUUCUGAGGAGAUUGUGUUUUAGUUGCAACCCAUUUGAUUAAUCGUAUACCCACUCCUAAUCUUGGUGGUCAAUCACCUUAUGAAAUGCUUUUUAAGACUAAACCUCACUAUGAUCGUCUUCGUGUCUUUGGCUGUCUUUGUUAUGCUCAUACCAACAGUGCUAAUCGUCAUAAAUUUGCUCCCCGUGCUACCAAGUGUAUAUUUGUUGGUUACCCAUUUGGGUAUCUCGGAUACAAAGUUUAUGAUAUCAUUAAUAAAAAGACUUUUAUUUCUCGUGAUGUUACUUUUGUGGAAACUGAAUUCCCAUUCAAAACUAUCACCAAUCAACAAGAAAAUAGCAAUCUUUUACCUCUUCCUAUCAUACUUCCUGCCAAUGAAAAUGCACAGCUCCUUCCAACUUCUUCCAAUGAAAAGCUACUCCACCAAGGUACAUCUGAUUCAAUAGUUCUCCCUUCUCCACCUCUUCGACGAUCCCAACGACAGUCUUGUCGUCCAAAUUAUCUUCAGAAUUAUAUUUUCUCUACUGCACUUCACGGUACAUUUGGCAACUCUAUUACUUUUACUAAUCAUCCACCAUUGGUAAGUUCUUUAUAUCCAUUAUCCAAGUAUUUAUCAUAUGACAAGUUUUCUAGUGAUCAUGUAGCCUUUCUUUAAGCUAUAUCUCACGGUGUUGAACCAACUACAUAUUCUCAAGCCGUUCAACAUGCUUAUUGGCGCAAUGCUAUGGAUAUAGAGAUUAAAGCUUUGGAGCAAAGUAACACUUGGACAAUACAAGAUCUACCCCCCGGCAAGAAACCAAUUGGUUGUAAAUGAGUGUUUAAAAUUAAAAGAAAAGCUGAUGGUUCUAUUGAUAGAUACAAAGCAUGCCUUGUUGCUAAAGGAUACACACAAACUGAAGGUUUGGAUUACCAUGAGACAUUUGCACCUGUUGCAAAACUUGUGACUGUUAGAUGUGUAUUGGCAAUGGCAGCUAUUCGAGGGUGGUUAUUAUUUCAGUUAGAUGUUCAUAAUGCAUUUCUUCAUGGCGACUUGCAUGAGGAAAUUUAUAUGACCUUACCUCCAGGAGUUCGUAAACAGGGGGAGUCUUAUCAAUUUUGUCGGUUAAACAAGUCCCUUUAUGGUCUUAAGCAAGCUUUUCAAAAAUUGGUUUGAAAAAUUCUCAUCCGCUCUUAAACAAAUUGGUUACAUUCAAUCUUGUGCUGAUUCUUGUUUAUUUACUAAUAUGCACGAUUCUCAUUUUACAUUGGUGCUUGUGUAUGUUGAUGAUAUAAUAAUUGCUGGUAACCAUCUUGACACUAUAACUGCAUUGAAGAUAUUUUUACAGGCUCAAUUUCAUAUUAAAGACUUGGGAACUUUGAAAUAUUUUUUAGGAAUUGAAGUGGCUCGUUCAAAGCAAGGGAUUUUCUUAAAUCAAAGGAAAUAUGCUUUAGAUAUACUUCAAGACAGUGGACAAUUAGGCACACGGCCAUCUUCUUUUCCAAUGGAAUAAAACUUGAAGCUCUCUAACGAUCAAGGAACCCUUUGUCAAAAUCCUGACCACUACUAACCACUGUCAUAGGAUGUCUCAUCUAUUUGACAAUCACCCGGCCAGAAAUUACAUAUGCUGUGAACAUACUUAGUCAAUUUAUGCACACUCCAAGACGACCACAUUAUGAUGUUGCCCUGCGUGUCUUACGUUACAUUAGAUCUUCUCCCGGCGCUGGUAUCCUCUUGUCCUCCGCUAGCUCUUUGGAACUCUCUGCCUUCUCAGAUUCAGAUUGGGCAAGUUGCCCCAUGACCCGUCGAUCCACCACUGAAUAUAUUAUCAUGCUCGGCAACAAUCCUAUUUCUUGGAAAACCAAGAAGCAACCAUUUGUAUCGCGCUCUUCCGCUGAAGCUGAAUAUCGAGCAAUGGCGACAACAACAUGUGAAUUGGUUUGGUUGAAAACUCUACUUCAUGAUCUUCAUGUGACCCAUCCAAUGCCUAUAACUUUACAUUGUGACAAUCAAGUUGUGCUUCAUAUCGCUGCGAAUCCCAUCUUCCAUGAGCGUACCAAGCACAUAGAAAUAGACUGCCAUCUUGUUCGUGAAAAGCUUCAUGCCAAAAUCAUUUCCUUAACUUAUGUGCCUUCACGACAACAAUUGGCUGACAGUUUUACCAAAGUUCUUGGUAAAGAUCAAUUUCAAUAUCUUCUUGGCAAGUUGGGAGUUACGGAUCUUCACUUUCCAACUUGAGGGGGAGUAUUAGAACAAGAAUCAAUCGGUCCUUGAUCUUAGCCACUAACUUAGCAUAUUGUAAUAUUCAUUCUCCUUUAUAUUCUUUCCUUUUCUAUUAUUUGACUGUUUGGUACUUGCCUUAGAUGAUUAUAGUAUUUUGGUAUAUAAGGAUCUUGUACACAGCAACAAAUAUAUAUGACCAUUUCCACAAUUCUUUACAGGAAGUAAGGAACAACUUCAUAGAUCCAUUAUUCUUAAAUUAUAAAAAUACAUAAACAACAUAUGUAUAUGAUUUUAGACAAAUCAAGAUAGUUUAAUUCAUACCUUUGUGAGUGAGAUCAAAGGAGGGAUAUUAUCAUAUUACCUCUUAAUGGCUAGAGACUCGUGUUGAUAAUGUGUUAUAUCAUUUAUCAAUUGGGAGUGCAACAAUAUAGCAAGAGAAAUAAAGAAGGCAAAUAAGAGACACAAUGUUUAGAGGGGAAUUUUAUUCAAUCUCAAAUAUAUACAAAUAGGAAGCAAAGGCCUGCUUUUAUAGUGAUACAAGCAUAAAGUAGUAAGUAAUACCUCGUAAUUAUAAGAGAUGACAAUCCUCAGAUUAGGGAGAUAAUGAGAGUUAUAAAAGAUGGAAAGUUACUUGUGAGGAGAUCGAAGAUUGCUUUGAUGAACAUCCACAUAUAUUAUAAUAAUUUCAUAACAUACAUUUACUUUUAAUUUAUUUUUAAGGUUAAUUGGUUAAUAAGCUUCUUGUGUAGUAGAUUGAUUAAUGUGCCCAAGAAUAUUGUUGGAUGCUAUUAUUUUAAAGGCAAAGAAAAAUAAGGCAUAAGUGUCACAUGUUCAAUAGCAGGGAUGUUUUGAGGAAUUUCUUAAAAUAAAAAGACUAAGUAGAUCUUUAGCCCAAAAUAUAGGGAUUAAGCAAGCAUUCAUCCUAUUGAAAAGCAAAGUAAACUAAUGUAACCAUAAUUGAAUAUAAAGUUAACUCUUCUAUGGCAUUAUAGAGAACAAAAGAAGGAAAAAUAUUAUUCAAAUUCAAGAUAAGAAGGUAGUUUAUUAACUGUCUAAAGUUCAAAAUUUUAUUAAUUUCAGACCUUUUUUAAAAUUUACUUAUUUGUUUUUUUGUAACUUAUGUUUGAUUUUUAGAUAUUUACAUCUGAAUAGAAAAAGUAAGAUUUUUUGACUUUUAUCUAAAUGGAAAAAGAUCUGAAUGAUUAGUAAAUAUUAUAUUCCAUAAAUAUCUCUAUAAAAUAACUUAUUUCCUAAUCUAUAAAAUAGAAUCCCCUUUUUUUAUUUUGAUUUACAAGGACGUAAAUGUCAAAGAACUAAGUUUAAGAUGUUUUUUAUUAUAAAAACAAAUAAGAUGCCACUUACAUUCAUAUAUUAAAAAAUGAAAAACAAACAUGUGAUUCAAAUUUUCGUAUUCAAACCCAUUCAAACUUGAAAAAAAUUUAGACACAUUCAAAUUUCAGACAAAAAAGACAAAUACUACUUCAAUUUUUUUUUCGCUUUGCAACUGCCCACUGCUAACCAAAUAAAAAAAGAUUUUCAAUUUGGAAUUAUGUUAUCCAACAUAUGAAGACAAUUCUUCCUUUGAACGAAUCUUUAUGAUUGUUUUCUGAACGAAUAUUGCUCUAAAUUAAAAUAUUUUAGAACAAAAAAUAGUUGAUUGCCAAAUGUACAAUAGGUACAAUUUUCUUUUUUCAGCUCUCUUUUGGAAGAGAACUAUGUCGUCCUUUAUAAUUAUUAUUUCUUGAAAGAAUACAAACUUAAAUUACUGGCUUUUUAUUUGUAAAAUCAUAUAAAAUAGACUCUUUUAAGGAAAAUAUCUCAUACCGGAGAUAAUAAUUUCUGGACUAAGAAUAUAAACUUAAAACAGCACUACUAUCAAAUUAUCUUUAAAAGAGUUCCUUGAUCAAAAGAAUUUAUUUAUCAUUUUUCACAGUUUAAAAAAAUAAAAAAAAUUACAUAGAAAUAAUUGGAAGAUUUCCUAAAUAAGCAUCAAAUAAAUGCUAAUUUAUUGCAUGAUACUUGGAAGAAACCAUAAAUAAAAAUUAAGGAUUUAUAAUUUUAAAGACAAGUUGGGAGUUUAAAUUUUCUUGCCAUCUUGAGGGAGAAUAAUAAGACCGAAAUAAUAUUGAUGAAACAAAAUAAUCAAUCAAAUAUUUGAUUGUCUUCAUCUUAAUCAGUGAUCAAGAAAAAUUGGUUGUUAAUUAACAUAAAAAUUGAUUGACUCAAUAUUUACUAAUAGAUCAUUAUUCCCAAAUUAUGUUAAUUAUAUAUAUUUCAAAUACUUAUAAGAAUUGAGUUUGCUUACGGUUUAUUAAAUAUAGUCUCUUAAAAGUUUACAUGUGGCCCAUACAAAGCUAACAUUACUCUGUUAUAGCAUUUCGGGCAUCCAACAAGAUCCUCUUCUUCACUUAUUGUUAGAACUAGAGCUAACAAAUUAAUUACUUAAUCACGGCUAAGUUUGGAAUUAAAAUCAAACUAAAUUAUCUAAUUGGUUGAGUUCGGUUUCCGUUUGUAUGGGCUACAUGAAAUUUUUUCUCUCAUCUUCUCUCGUCUGCUAAUCGCAUCUUUCUCUCUUUCGACUCUCUAAUUUCUCUCUUGGAUUUGGUUACCAAGCACAUAAAAUUGAAGCCACCAUCUCGCUCAUAACAAACAACUAGUCGGAUCCACCAAACUGUUGCUGUCAUCUUGAGCCAUUCAAGUAACUUGAACACAUCAUCUUCUCGUAAAUUCUCUUUCAUUUUCGAAUUAAAGACAAGGUAAGGAUGUAAUCUUGACUUUUGUGUUUUUUGUGAUGACUACAGAAAAUGCUAUAUGAAACAAUUAGGGAUUUAUGUGCUAUAUAAUAAUAAUAAUAAUAAUAAUAAUAACAACAACAACAACAACAACAACAAGUAGUCAUUUAUGAAUUUUGAGUGAAAAAUUAGGGAUUUAUGUGCUUCUUCUUCUUCUUCUUCUUCUUCUUCUUAUUAUUAUUAUUAUUAUUAUUAUUAUUAUUAUUAUUAUUAUUAUUAUUAUUAUUUUCCCUAUAUUAAACAAGUAGUCAUUUAUGAAUUUUGAGUGAAAAAUUCACUCGGCUGUGGCAGAUUUUGUGCCUUACAAGUAGUCGAUUUCACGCAUUCAUCAUCACCAUUACUAUGUUCAUUAUUAUUUGCUAUUGUUUUUUACUUUUUCUGCUGUUAUUGAUUAAAUUGACAUUAAAUUUAUGUCUUGUCCAUUACAAGACUUAACAAUAUAAUCCAGGUGUAACAUGGACACUACAGAUGAUACAAGUGCGCAAGACCUAGUCAGAGAGCGUAGUACACUUUUUGUAAGUAUAAACUAAUUGAUAUUUUUCGAGUUGUUAUGUUAGCAACCAUUUUAAAAACACUUUUGUUUUCGAAUUUUGGUUACGUUGAAGUGAAGGGGAUUGAGUUGCCAUUAAAAAUUAAAGUAUUUUGGUCUUUAUAAACAAAGCGCUUUUGUGGAAUAGAUCUAAGAAGAUGCUAAUCUUCUUAAUAAUUUUUUUUUUUUUUAAAUUCUAUUACUCUUGGUGCAACAAAUUUCCUAGUGCCAAAACCUUGUCAUAAAAAAAAAAGAAAAAAAAAAAGAAAACAGAAAAAGAGUGAAAAUCUCUUCGGUCAACCAAAUUACUCAAAUUCGUAAAAUAAUAUAAUACUUGAACCUUAAAAAUAAAAGCUCUAUAUAUUACUAUAUAAACAGUGAUAAACACAAUUACUAUCUAAGCCCACUCGAAAUUUUAUCAUACAGUCGUAUAUUUAUCACCUUAUGUACGUAUAUUGUAAUUUGGAUACGUUAUUUAAUUGUAUUUAUAUUGUGUAUAUUUACCACAUUAUGUACGUAUAUAAAAUAUAACGUAUAUUGUGUAAACUUUACUUUUGAGCUAAGUAUUUUCCUGAAAAAGGAAAUAAAUCAAUAAAAAUUAUUGUGUGUCAACAUAUUGGUUAUAUUAGUCUAUACACGUCGGUUUUAAUUACGAUAUCUCUUCCUAAAUAUUUUACUUUUUUUGAAAGUAACUCAAAAAUUUGUUGUAUAAAAAACACUAUCACUUUCAAUCAUAUGAUGGUUACAUUUUAAUCAUUUAUUCAUAACGUCCUCCUGGACCUCCAUUGGGGAUAUUAUAGUGUGUCAUUCUGUAACCCAGAACUAUCAUUUCUUCCACCUCUACGAUAUCUUGUAAUGUUACUUGCAGCUUCAUAAGCCACAGAAACAUCAUCAAAAUCAACAAAUUGUUUUCUUUUCUUUUUUUUUAGGAAAGUAAUAAGAAAAAUAAAAGCUGCAUUAUUCUAUUUAUGAUCAAUAGAAGAAUUCAAGUGACUGGAGAAAAUUCAGAUUGUUGAAAAUGGGUUCUCAAACGAGAUAAGCCUCAGGUAGUAGACCUCACCAACAUCAGUACCAGACUCAAUCCAUAGAAUCGGUCUCGUCUUAAGCCUAACAGCUCCCUUCUAAUAUAAUCUAGUGAGAACGGUGAGGUGCUUGGUAUAUCAUACACCAAAAAUCAACGAUGCUUGGACUUUCAAGAAAAAGAGAAAAACAAAUGCAUGCACGGGGAAACGUACUAAUCAAAAGCAAAUCAUAUAAUUUACAAAUUAUUAUAGGCUUGUAGCCAUAAGAUCGAGAGAAACUAAAACAUUUCUUGCAUUUUCUGGCCAUAUUUUCUAAAUGAAGGGAUGGUCCAUUGCUGCUCCGCCAUACUGGAUCUCAAGAUGUCAUUAACAAUAGGUCUCAAGAUGUCCCUAACAAGGUGUCACUCUGAUACCGACAGGUCUACCACUUAGACAUAACACUUGCCAUGUAAAAUGUUCUCCUAUUUUUGCUAUUUCCUUCGUAUCUUGCAUUGAAUUAUUGCCAGCAAAUGAUAUUUCGAGUCAAAAAAGUAUAUUCAAUUAUUGCAUAUAUGCUCCUAGGUAAUUUGCACAAUUGAAUUAUAGCUGUUAAUCUACUUAUUUACACAAUUGAUUAAUUGUACGCAUCCAUUGCAAGACUUUCGCACUAAGUUUCAAUUUCAACCACAAAUCCUAGCUCUAGAUAAAAAUGAUGUGGUCGUAGAGAUUUCGAAUGUAUUCACUUUGUGAUUAACGGAAGCAUUGCUUUCAUUUGUAAGACGUUGUCAUCACAGAUUAAUUAAUUAAUCAUCAUUUUGGUAAAGGAAAAAGAAUGAAAAAAGCUGCACUAUUUUAAAGGCCAUUUGGUAUAUGACCACUUCGCAUUGGACUUGGAGACCGGGUAAUUUUGUCAUCUCUACUCCAAGAAUCUGCUCUCAUGCUACUUGCAUGGUUCCAUCUUUGAAGUCUGGUACUGUUUUGUUUGGAAAAUACCCCACUAUAAUAUCUUCACGAAGAAAAUUGAUCCCCGUUAACUAGCGUGAUUAGCUUAGUUUCUUAAAUUCAACGUUCGUUUGGUUAAUUGUCUGUUAGUUUUAGAAUUUUGAUUAGCCAAUAAAACAAUGAGUUUUAUUGUUUAAUAAGGCAAGUUGAAAUAAAUUCAAUCCUACUCACAGAAAAAUUUAAAUGACACAUAUCAUAAUCUUUUUCAUAUCUUCAGAAAAAUUAAAUCAUAAGAGGAUCAUGAACAAUUUGAUGAUGCUCUGAAAUAUAGUCUUCUGUUUUUCAAGGAAAAAAUAAGGAAGUUAAAAACAUGUUUAUCAGGUUUUUCAGAGAUCAUUUUGACGUUUUUGUUUAAAAACAUGAAAAUUGUUCUUAUUCUCGUAAACCAGAAAAAAUUAUCUGGCCGGUUAGCUAAUUAUUCUUGUUCUUCUGUUCUUUUUUAUUUGAAUUGUUUCUCCCUUUUCCAUUCAUUUUUCACUAUGAAAUUAAUUACUAAUUAAUCUACAGUUAGUUUCUCUACAGCUAAUAGGAACGUCAUUUAUGCCCGAAGACUCGCAUCUUUUUUAUUCAUUAUCUACAGUGCCUCACCUCCAAUCUAUGUAUAGGCGGACAUGCAUAUUUAUUAUAUCAAAUAAGUUAUUGAUGGAAAAUAUCACUUUCGAAAUAGAGAAUUAUCCUUAAUUAAAUCUUAGUGGGCCUAAAUUCGAGUAAGAUUUAAUGAUGUAUGAUUCAAAAUUAUUGAAAUCGGACAUUUUAAACAAGAAAAAAAAUAAAAAAUCUUGUUCUCUUUUUUAAAUAAUAAAUUUCAUUGUGAUGGAUUUUUAAUAUUAAAUUAGACAUUUGCUAAAUUGGCUCAAAUAUAAUAGAUCUUAGACCUUGCUUUUAAUGGAUUUAAUUAGGUUUUGGGCAUUUAAAUUAUACAACUGGAGACGGAAUUUAUAAAUAGAUAACAUUCUAAUGUGAUUUUAAAAUAAAUUUGAACUUGAACUUGAUGCAUUUUAUUAAUCCAGAAAGGUAAAUUUAUAAUUUCAACUUUUAAAUAAAACAUAUCCUUUGGAUUUUUUACAUAAACUAGAGGCAAUUGUACAAUAUUUACUUGACUAGUGGUAUAUAUCUCAAAUUUUUUAUCCUAAGAAAUGCCACAUCAUUUGGUUGAUGAGGAUAAUAUAAUUAAUUCACUUAGAUAUUAUAAAAAAUUAUCAACCAAUCAACGAAUAACAUAUCAUUUUCAUUGGGAUGGAAUUUGGAAAAAAAAAUUUAGGACGUCUAUUAUUACUUUAGUAAGAAAGCAUAUUAAGAUGGACUAACAUGUUUGGAUGCCCCAGCCUAAGAUGCAAGAGAUCAAUUUCUUUUGUUGUCUUGAAAUCCCUACUAUUUGACUCAACAACAUUGGCAACAUUUAACCAAUUACUACUAGAACAAAAAGAUAUCAUAGACAAAGGAUUGCUAAUGCAAUUUAUUGACUCAUACUCUAAAGAUAGAGGUAACUCAACAGCACAUUCAUUCUUGCUACUCAUGCACAAUAGCUCAUAUAGCCUAUCUUUAGUCACUCCUUUCAUUUGGAUUUUCACUUGGCUAAAGCAAAUAGAUUUUUGAAGCACAACAUCAAUAUCAUUAUCACGGAACAAUUUUGAGACAUUAAUAAGGUUCUUAAUAACGCUAGGCACAGACAACGAGCUAUUUAGUUUAAUCUGUUUGUGCGGAUCAUAAGUGAGCAAUAUAGAGUAUCCAAUAUGAGAAAUCAAAAGUUUAUCACCAUUUCCAAUAGUAGCUCAUCAUUACCUUGAUAUUCUAAAUUAAAGCUCAUGCUUCCAAUAGCACUGGUUACAUGAUUUGUAGCACCACUGUCAAGGUACCAAGCUCUACUAUUCUCACCGUCAACUGCAACCACAUAUGCUCUUAUUGGAUCUCUUCUUCUAUUUGGCUGUGGAACUGAUAUGAACCCUAUUAAGAACUAACAUGACCCUAACCAAUUUAGUCUCUAAGAUUGAAACCAUUUUUUUUUUUUUUAGAAGAGAUUGAAACCAAAUCUAAAAUUGAAUGGAACCGCGAUUUGAUCUCAAUGAAAGUACGAACCUUGGUAUGUGAUGACGCCACAAUCAGCUAUGGAUGAUCUGAUUGAUAAGUCAAGAGUUUGAACGCCACAGAAAUCCGAUAAGUUCAAAGGGUUAGUUUAAGAACCAAAGAGAAUUAGCUUUCUCACUAAUUGCAUCAAAAUUGAUGUCUUUCUUAUUGGAUACAAGUACAUUAGAUAGGGUUGGUUUAUAAGAAUUUUAAGAAAUAAAUCCUAAACCAAAAUCAAAUCAGAAUCCUAAUUUAAAGCAAAUAAGGAAAGAAACUAAUUCAAACCAUAAUCCUUAUUGGCUUAAAUGCCUUGCAUCAAUUAAAAAUGGAAACAAGGCAAUUAAAAGAGAAAUAAUUGAUUCGUUUUGCCACUUGCCUACUCAAGAAAUGGGAAAGUAUCCUAAAAGGAAAGUUUUUUCCAAACGAGAAACAUCUGAUAAGGUAAAUAAUAUAUUUUCUAGCCAUAAUGUGCAAACCAACUUGCUGAUUUCAUAGAAAUGAUUAUGUGAAAACUUAAAAAGCCUGAAUCACGUAUUUAGUGGUCUAAAUAUCAUGUGCGAUUUCUUCAACGGGGCUCCACGAAUUUGAUUGAGCUCAAGUUGCUUAAAUAAACCCAUUAAGCGAUUUUUUGAAUUUUUUUGCACGAGCUCUUAUGAUGGGUCCAACAAGAACUUGAAUGGGAUAUGAAUAUACCUCAUCUCAUGUGCUUGUGACAGUUUUGUCCUCAAUAUCAUAUUUUUUCCUUCAAAGAAACAAUUUUGCUUCAUAUGGAAAAGGAAAUUCAUAUGGAAAAGGAAAUUUUCCUUCAAAGAAAUAAUUUCAUAACAUACAUUUACUUUUAAUUUAUUUUUAAGGUUAAUUGGUUAAUAAGCUUUUUGUGUAGUAGAUUGAUUAAUGUGCCCAAGAAUAUUGUUGGAUGCUAUUAUUUUAAAAGCAAAGCAAAAUAAGACAUAAGUGUCACAUGUUCAAUAGUAGGGAUGUUUUGAGGAAUUUCUUAAAAUAAAAAGACUAAGUAAUCUUUAGCCCAAAAUAUAGGGAUUAAGCAAGCAUUCAUUCUAUAGAAAAGCAGAGUAAACUAAUGUAACCAUAAUUGAAUAUAAAGUUAACUCUUCUAUGGAAUUAUAGAGAACAAAAGAAGGAAAAAUAUUAUUCAAAUUCAAGAUAAGAAGGUAGUUUAUUAACUGUCUAAAGUUCAAAAUUUUAUUAAUUUCAGACCUUUUUUAAAAUUUGCUUAUUUGUUUUUUUGUAACUUAUGUUUGAUUUUUAGAUAUUUAUAUCUGAAUAGAAAAAGUAAGAUUUUUUUACUUUUAUAUAAAUGGAAAAAGGUCUGAAUGAUUAGUAAAUAUUAUAUUCCAUAAAUAUCUCUAUAAAAUAACUUAUUUCCUAAUCUAUAAAAUAGAAUCCCCUUUUUUUAUUUUGAUUUACAAGGACGUAAAUGUCAAAGAACUAAGUUUAAGAUGUUUUUUAUUAUAAAAACAAAUAAGAUGCCACUUACAUUUAGAUAUUAAAAAAUGAAAAACAAAUAUGUGAUUCAAAUUUUCGUAUUCAGACUAGAGAUGGCCAAUGGGCCGGGCGGCACGUGGCACGGCACGGGCACGGAAUGGGCACGGCACGUGUCCGUACGGCACGACACGGCACGAGCACGUUUCGGUGAGGCACGAGGCACGGCACGGCAUGCACGUGGGCUGUGCCGGGCCUAGAAUUUUAGGCACGCGGGCCUUAAAGCACGGCACGAUUAGAGAUGGGCCAAAGCACGGCACACGAAAAAGCACGUAAUAAGCACGGUUCAUUGGUGGGCUAGCACGCGGCCCGUGAGCCAUCAAUAGCACGUGGGCCAAAAUAUAUCUAAGUAAAUUUUUUUAACAAAAAGUAAAUAUAAAAUGUUAUGAAAUUAAAGUAAAAUAUCUUGAAAUUAAAUGUUUUAAUAUAUUUUUUAGCAUAGACUUCUAAAAAUUAAUUUAAAUCAUUAAAUCUUAGUUUAAAUAAAUAUUCUAAUUUUUUAUGUUUAUAAUUUAUCAAAUGAAUAAUUAAAUAUCAUGAUUUUAAUAAAUAAAUUAUAAAUAUCAUAAUUUUAUUUAUGAUAUUUAUUAAAUGAAUAAUGUUAUUUAUGAUAUUUAAUUUUAUUUAUGAUAUUUAUUUAAUUAUUUAUUUAUGUUUAUAAUUUAUUAAAUGAAUAAGUAAAUAACUAAAUAUCAUGAUUUUAAUAAAUAAAAUUAUAAAUAUCAUAAAUUUAUAAUUUAUAAAUAAAAAAUAAAUCUUUUUACAAAAUUAAUAAUAAAAUAUUUUUCAUAUGAAAUAUUUUUCAUAUUAAUAUUAAAUCAUAACUUAGUUAAUAUUUAAUAGAGAUACGUUUCAUUUGUGAAUGAAAUAUUUUUCAUAUUUAUACACAAGAAAAAAUUAUGAUAAAUUAAAAAUUACAUUUUCAUUAAAUGAAGUUAAAGUACAAUUAUAACUUGUAAGUUGUGACCUAUGAUUUGUUAUAUUAAUAUUUCGUAGUUAUGACUUAUUGUAGUGAUUAUUCGAGGAUUGUAUUUUUAAUUUUAAUUAAUUAUUAUUAUGAGCUAUGGAAUUAAAUUUAUGUAUUGUUGUGUUAUGAAUUAUGAUUGAUUAUUGUGAAAUAAAAUAUAUAGUUGUGAAAUUGUGAUAAACUAAUAAUAAAAUGUUAAUUGCUCUCUUAAUAAAAAUUAAUAUGAUUAUGAUUAUGAAUAUUAUUAUUAUUAUUAUUAUUAUUAUUAUUAUUAUUAUUAUUAUUAUUAUUAUUAUUAUUAUUAUUAUUAUGUUGGUGGGUUUAAAAAAGCACGUCAGGUAUGUGGGUUUGAAUAAAGCACGCCAGACACGUGGACUUUUUUAAGCACGCCAAAAAAACAAAGUUGAUGGGCUUUUUUUUGGGAACGGCCCACGGCACGGCACGAGCGGGCUCGUGCCGUGGGCCGUGCUGGGCUCAACUGAAAAAAAGGUAUGCACGGCACGGCACAGCCCACCACGAGCCCUUGUGGGCUGACAGUUUGCCGGCACGGCCCAUUGGCCAUAGUUAAUUCAGACCCAUUCAAACUUGAAAAAAAUUUAGACACAUUCAAAUUUCAGAUAAAAAAGACAAAUGCUACUUAAAUUUUUUUCGCUUUGCAACUGCCCACUGCUACACCAAAUAAAAAAAGAUUUUCAAUUUGGAAUUAUGUUAUCCAACAUAUGAAGACAAUUCUUCCUUUAAACGAAUCUUUAUGAUUGUUUUCUGAACGAAUAUUGCUCUAAAUUAAAAUAUUUUAGAACAAAAAAUAGCUGAUUGCCAAAUGUACAAUAGGUACAAUUUUCUUUUUUCAGCUCUCUUUUGGAAGAGAACUAUGGCGUCCUUUAUAAUUAUUAUUUCUUGAAAGAAUACAAACUUAAAUUACUGGCUUUUUAUUUGUAAAAUCAUAUAAAAUAGAUUCUUUUAAGGAAAAUAUCUCAUACCGGAGAUAAUAAUUUCUGGACUAAGAAUAUAAACUUAAAACAGCACUACUAUCAAACUAUCUUUAAAAGAGUUCCUUGAUCAAAAGAAUUUAUUUAUCAUUUUUCACAGUUAAAAAAAAUAAAAAAAAUUACAUAGAAAUAAUUUGAAGAUUUCCUAAAUAAGCAUCAAAUAAAUGCUAAUUUACUGCAUGAUACUUAGAAGAAACCAUAAAUAAAAAUUAAGAAUUUACAAUUUUAAAGACGAGCUGGGAGUUUUAAUUUUCUUGCCAUCUUGAGAGAGAAUAAUAAGACCAAAAUAAUAUUGAUGAAACAAAAUAAUCAAUCAAAUAUUUGAUUGUCUUCAUCUUAAUCAGUGAUUAAGAAAAAUUGGUUGUUAAUUAACAUAAAAAUUGAUUGACUCAAUAUUUAUUAAUAGAUCAUUAUUUCCAAAUUAUGUUAAUUAUAUAUAUUUCAAAUACUUAUAAGAAUUGAGUUUGCUUACGGUUUAUUAAAUAUAGUCUCUUAAAAGUUUUCAUGUGGCCCAUACAAAGCUAACAUUACUCUGUUAUAGCAUUUCGGGCAUCCAACAAGAUCCUCUUCUUCACUUAUUGUUAGAACUAGCGCUAACAAAUUAAUUACUUAAUCACGGCUAAGUUUGGAAUUAAAAUCAAACUAAAUUAUCUAAUUGGUUGAGUUCGGUUUCCGUUUGUAUGGGCUACACGAAAUUUUUUCUCUCAUCUUCUCUCGUCUGCUAAUCGCAUCUUUCUCUCUUUCGACUCUCUAAUUUCUCUCUUGGAUUUGGUUACCAAGCACAUAAAAUUGAAGCCACCAUCUCGUUCAUAACAAACAACUAGUCGGAUCCAUCAAACUGUUGCUGUCAUCUUGAGCCAUUCAAGUAACUUGAACACAUCAUCUUCUCGUAAAUUCUCUUUCAUUUUCAAAUUAAAGACAAGGUAAGGAUGUAAUCUUGACUUUUGUGUUUUUUGUGAUGACUACAGAAAAUGCUAUAUGGAACAAUUAGGGAUUUAUGUGCUUCUUCUUCUUCUUCUUCUUCUUCUUCUUCUUAUUAUUAUUAUUAUUAUUAUUAUUUUCCCUAUAUUAAACAAGUAGUUAUUUAUGAAUUUUGAGUGAAAAAUUCACUCGGCUGUGGCAGAUUUUGUGCCUUACAAGUAGUCGAUUUCACGCAUUCAUCAUCACCAUUACUAUGUUCAUUAUUAUUUGCUAUUGUUUUUUACUUUUUCUGCUGUUAUUGAUUAAAUUGACAUUAAAUUUAUGUCUUGUCCAUUACAAGACUUAACAAUAUAAUCCAGUUGUAACAUGGACACUACAGAUGAUACAAGUGCGCAAGACCUAGUCAGAGAGCGUAGUACACUUUUUGUAAGUAUAAACUAAUUGAUAUUUUUCGAGUUGUUAUGUUAGCAACCAUUUUAAAAACACUUUUGUUUUCGAAUUUUGGUUACGUUGAAGUGAAGGGGAUUGAGUUGCCAUUAAAAAUUAAAGUAUUUUGGUCUUUAUAAACAAAGCGCUUUUGUGGAAUAGAUCUAAGAAGAUGCUAAGAAUUGAGUUUGCUUACGGUUUGUAAUCUUGACUUUUGUGUUUUUUGUGAUGACUACAGAAAAUGCUAUAUGAAACAAUUAGGGAUUUAUGUGCUAUAUAAUAAUAAUAAUAAUAAUAAUAAUAAUAAUAAUUAUUAUUAUUAUUAUUAUUAUUAUUAUUAUUAUUAUUAUUAUUUUCCCUAUAUUAAACAAGUAGGCAUUUAUGAAUUUUGAGUGAAAAAUUCACUCGGCUGUGGCGGAUUUUGUGCCUUACAAGUAGUCGAUUUCACGCAUUCAUCAUCACCAUUACUAUGUUCACUAAAAUAUAACGUAUAUUGUGUAAACUCUACUAUAAACAAUUAAUAUUUGGUCAUAUUUCUUUUGGCAAAUAACCCCCUGGGAUUUCUUCUUUAUCGCAACAUGAAAUUGAAGAUAUUUAAAAGGUUUUGAAACGUUAUUUUUAUUGAAAGGAGUUGCCAUUUUUAAUUUUGGUUGCAAAUAAUAAUUCCUUGGUGGUUACAAUAUUUUUAAAUAUCCCCAUUAAGGCUGUAGGGGCUACAAAUCUUCAUUCUAGAUCUGUAACAUAUGACUAUGAAUUAUAUAUAAAUGAGCUAUUUUUCUUUAUCUUUGGAUAUAUUAUAUACUCUAUUGUUUUCUCCGAAACUCUACGAUAAACAAUUAAUACUUUUCUUUGCAACUUCGACAUUCAAAGACUUGGUUUAUUCUUCAGGUAAAUCGUGCUUAGGAAGAAGAGCGGCAUGAAGAUAUUUGGGUUGUAUUUUGGAGCUGCGAAAUACCGACAAUAUCCGCCCGUGGGGAGGGCUCUUUGACAUUUGGGUUGUAUUUUGGACAUUUGUUCUUCUCCAUAGUACUGGCCGGAUUCUUCAACAAUACCCUAAUACUUCUAAAGUCAAAGACAUGCUUCUCUUUCGUUGAAUAUAUUUGCAUCUCUAGGUGAAAGUUGUAAUUGGCUGAGGAAAUUUUUAUUUUUAUAGAAUGGAAGAACAGGGACUUUACGUGGAGAAAAAAUUGUAGUGGGUAUUUUCCAUAGAUAUGGCUAUACAUGUAGCAUGACGAGCUGAUGACGGGAGUUCAUUUGACGGAAUUAGCCCUUCAAUGGGUUGUCGUUAUAAACCAGAUGGCCAAUAUAAUCAUGCAGCCUAUUUCAGCAAUGUUGUUUAUUAUGAUAUUAAUUUUGUGACUCAAGAAGCUGCAAGUAACAAUAAUACAGGACACCGUACAUAUGCAAGUAAUUGUUUUGGUUGCAAAAUGCAACACUUUCUGGACCAUCUUCUGGUUAUAAUUUUGUUUUUAGUAAAAUGUAAUUUUUUUUUAUUAUAGACAUUGUAUAAUUGUUUUAAAAUUUGGUAUAGCAAUAAAUAUGAUCUAUGUUUUGGACUGGUAGGUGGUUUCUUAAAAUUCUAUCCCAAAAGUUUAUCUUAAAGUUCUAUCUUAAAUUAUGUGGUCUUUAGACUGAUUGGUGUAAUUAAUUUAAUUAAUAAAAAAGAUCAGAUCUUCUCCUAGAUAUUUUUUUCCUCCUCCUAAACUUUUAAUAAUCCAUUGAUAUGUGUCAUUAAUGAAAUUAAUAGAUAAAAAAUUAUUUUAUCUUUACCGCUUUAACCCUACCCAAUUUGUGGACCCAUUUUAUCUUCCACGUGAUUGGUAUUAUUACUUUAUUUGUCUUUUUAUGUACUAUUAUUUAUUCUGUGGACCCAUUCAUGCACCCACGUUUCGGACAUGCAAUUUAACCGUAGCCGUUAAUCUUACCUAAUCAUAUGUGCGAUAAAAAUCUGCCGUCGAUCCGUUAUAUGUAAGUACCAACCAUGCGUUAUUAUUCGAUUUGCUACGUUACAAAAUCUUAUUGAUAAGGUUUUUUCAGAGAUUUUUCUUUUAAGACUACCAUUACCUACGUUACAAAAUUAAAUUAUAAGAGGAUCUUGAUAAGGUUUUUUCAGAAACCACUUUGUAAAGUCAAAAUAAAGUCUUCGCCGUCUGCCUCCAAUGACUAACGCCCCAGGCCCUUGAUGAAAUAGAAAUCCGAGCAGUGAAGUCACACUUCUCAUUGAAAACGACUAAUAAAAAUUAAGUUGGAAACUCGAACAGUAACUAGAUAACCUUACUCUUUUAUAUUUUAAGAAUUUGUUCAGAAAAUAUUACGAUCUCUUCUAACUUAAGUUGAAAUGCCGUUUCUAUUUCUUAUUCUUAUAAAAUGUGUACUUAUCAAUAAAGUUUCUUAUAUAAAAUUUUCAACUAAGAAUGAAUCUUCUUCAUCCAAGAUGCUAAUACAGUCCUAAAGGUGGUGGUGAUGAAAGAAUGGACAUUAAACCAUUAAACUUCAUUCUCGUAGUCUCAAGCGUGGUUGCUGGUCCUCCAUAAGACCAAUAAUCUCUCCCUCCGUGACUCGUAACCAGACUGUGAUAUCACUUGUUGGACCCAGACACUUAUUGUGACUUUUUAGCAAGUCGCCAAUCACUAAAUUGGUCCAGAUUUAACAUGCUUAUUUAUGGAUCUUUCAAAUUAAAGUUUUCAUAUUCCUUUGAAAACUAAUUGGAAAUAAAAUAUAAAAAAAAAGAAUAAUAAACUAUUUAACUUCAUCCAUUUAUAAUCCUAAGGAUAUUCAUUGGGCACCCAUAAGAUCAACAGUCUUAUACUAUAAUUUAAAUUUAAUUAUGUUUUAUUGACAAAAAUUAGCUAUUAUCAUUAUGAAAUGCCCAUUUCACUGGACUAUCUUUGAUUAUAAAAUUGUUUUAGCAAUUCCAAGUGAAAUGAUAUUUUGAACGAGGAAAAGACUCAAUUAGACAUUUAGACCGGGCUGCAGUUCUGGCCUCAUUUUGUCCUGAAGCUCAGCCAUGAUCCUGCCAAAGUUUUGGAGCCAUUCUAGCCACAUUUUAUCUUACUAUUAUGCACCACAUUUACUUUUUCGAUCUUCGAGACUUCGACUGGGUCAAACAUAUCCUCAAGCUCCGCUUUAACCUUACGAAAUUUGUGCCACUUGGCCUUGUAGCUCAGUGGUGGAUCAUUACCCUCAAAGUUAAGCAUGAUUAUGAGGGCAAUGGUUCGAGUUUUUACGGACUUAAUCUCCCUCAAUUAAACAUAAUUGUGUGGAGAUUUUUUAUAACGUCUUUCUCUCUUGUGAAAUGCGAGUGGAGUAGAGAUAUCCCUCCUCCGUGAGGGGUAUUUGGAUGAGCAUGUACUUCAUAGAAUAAAAAUGUAAUUAUAUAAGUCCUAUGUAUAUAUAUCUGAUUGUAAAUAUCAAUGUAAUGACUUGUUGUCAUAGCAAUUGUAUAUAUCUCUGUGUAAUAUAGUAAUAUGAUACUUAAUCAAUUUAAAAAAAAAAAAAAACUUACGAAAUUUGUUGACCCAUUUUACCUUCACGUGAUUGGUAUUACUACUUUUGUCGACAAGGCUACGUUGCAGUUGCAGACUCAGCUGAGUACCAACAGCUUUUCCUCUCUCCUGCAACGCGUGGAUGCUCCUUGUUUGUCUUCUUAUCUGCAAUUAUUUUCUCUGUGGACCCAUUCAUGCACCCACGUCUCGAAUAUGCAAUCUAACCCACGUCUCGAAUAUGCAAUUAUUUUUUUUGUGGACCCAUUUUACCUUCACGUGAUUGGUAUUACUACUUUUGUGGACAAGGCUACGUUGCAGUUGCAGACUCUGUAUGCAACAGCUCAGUCCAAACUGGCCUUGUAUCAGCUGAGUUCCAACAGCUUUUCCUCUCUCCUGCAGCGCGUGGAUGCUCCUUGUUUGUCUUCUUAUCUGCAAUUAUUUUCUCUGUGGACCCAUUCAUGCACCCACGUCUCGAAUAUGCAAUUUAACCGUAGCCGUUAAUCAUAUCUAACUAUAUGUACGAUAAAAAUUCCGCCGUCGAUCCGCUAUAUGUAAGUACCAAUCAGGCAUUAGUUUUCUAAUAAGACUUUAUUUCUUUUAUUAGCUCAUAUUCAUCCAUGUGUUUAUCAUUCCUAGCUAAUUCGAUUAUUUAAAAUAACAAUGAUCCAUCAAUAAUUUUAUUCUUCGACCGGCUAAAAUGAUUUUUUUUAUUAUUAUUUUGAUGAGGAGGUCUCAAUAAAGUUCAAAUAAAUAAAUUUUGGUCUUUGUCUCACACUUACAUAAACAAACGAAAAAAUUAUAAAAUUAUAAAAAAAUUAAGAACCAUUGUCAAUUAUGUAAAUUCAAAUAUUUAAACAAUCAAAAUAAUUGCGGUUAGUUUUCCCCUGUAAUCAAUUAUUGGCAUCGGAUGGGAACCACGUAAUUCGUGUAAUUGAUAUAAAGCAAUCUUUGAUGAAUCGUGACCCACUUAACAAGGAUCAAUACAUUCAGAAAUGAAUUCCACUCACCAAUUGAGAUACUAGUAUUAAUAUUAUCGGGAUUUAUACUGCUCUAAAGACAAUGUUACAGAGAAGCUGCUAUAACUCUCAUGACUCUGAAUCUAAGUGUUCAAUACGAGUGUAAAGACCUAAUUGCUCUGAUACAAGAAAUCAGUCCAGUCUUGUAUUACUAAACUUAUUAGCAGAUUUUUGGCUCCCAGCUAGCACAUGGGUAGCACCUGUAACGCUGCAUCAAUUAACAAAACUGAUUUACCAGAAUUUCCAGCCCCUAUACUUUGCAUCAAUAAAUUAUGAAAUUGGACAAGAUUUGUGUGUGAUUUUAAAAUAAAUAUGAACUUGAAUUUGAUGCAUUUAAUUAAUCCAAAGAGGCAAAUUUAUAAUUUCAACUUCUAAAUAAAACAUAUCAUUUGAAUUUUAUCAGUGGUUUCUAAUAAUAACUGACAGGUCAUUAUAAUAAUUAUAAAUGUAAUAUUUAUUUUUAUAAUUAUACAGUUAUGAUCAAUGCUAUGCUGUAGUGCCGUUCCAAAGGCAACUGCUCCCACUAUUCUCUUAGCGGCUCUGCCACUAAUCGCAUUCUGGCCACAUUUUAUCUUGCUAUUAUGCACCAUAUUUAUUUUUGCAAUCUGCGAGACUGCGACUAGGAUAUGCAAUUGCUCAAGCUCCGGUUUAGUCUUAAUUUGUGGACCCAUUCUACCUCACACGUGAUUGGCAUUACUACUUUGUUUGUCUUCUUAUGUACUAUUAUUUAUUAUGUGGACCCAUUCGUGCACCCACGUUUCGAAUACACAAUUUAACCGCAGCCGCUAAUCUUACUUAAUUUAUGUACGAUAAAAGCUCCGCCGUCGAUCCGUUAUACUUAAGUACCAACCAUGAUUAUUAUUUGAUUAGCUACGUCACAAAGUCGUAUUGAUUACGAAACACCAACACCUAGGGCCUAGGCAAUAUAGACAGGUCCUAAAUUAUGAACAGACAUUUACGCUGUGGACCCAUUCAUGCAUCCCCGUUUCGAUUUUGCAAUUUAACGUAGCCGUUAAUCUUACCUAACCAUCUGUACGAGAAAAACUCCGCCGUCGAUCCGUAUAUGUAAGCACCAAGCAUGCAUUAUUAUUUUACCGAUUAUAAAGCACCGACACCCAGGGCCUAGAAUUAUAAUACUAUUUUUUUUUUGGAUUAGGACGAAAUUAUUAUUGAAUAAUAAUUAAAACAAGAAAAUCUGAAUCUUUCUAUGAUUGUAUCAACUUAUUAUGCAUGCCUAUGUUAUUGCCCGGUUGCCUAUGGUAUUGACAUCUACUACGAAGUUAGAAAUUGGUCUUAAUUAAUUAGAUGCAUUUCUCAUUUGAAUUAUUUGGAGACGUGUAUAAUACAGGUCAAGUUUUCUAAUAAGAGGUUAGUGACUUUAUUUCUUUUAUUGGCUCAUAUUGAUUUAUUUGGUUAUCAUUCCUAGCUAAUUCGGUUAUUUAUCAAUAAUUUUAUUGGACAAAUUCUUUUAUUGGUUAAAAUAAGUUUUUCUUAUUAUUGUUUUUGACGAGAAGGUCUCAAUAAAGUUGGAGUAAACAAAUUUUCAUCUAUGUCUCGCACUUACAUAAAAUAAAGGAAAAAAUUAUAAUUAUAAAUAAAUUAAGAACCAAUGUCAAUAAUGUAAAAUCAAAUAUUUAAACAAUCAAAAUUUUAUCACUUUUGAAUUUAAGACUUUUUUCUUUCAUAUGUUAGAAAAUAAAAUUUUGAUGGAAAUUUUUUUUUAAAUGAAAUUGGGAAUUAGAAAUUUUCAUUUCCAAGACUAUCUUUCAUUGGCUAUGUCCAAGACGAAACAGAUUAAAAGCAAAUUUUGUAAUUUACAAAAUUACUGUAGCAAUGAGAUGCGAAAGAAAAGACUGCACGUGAUAAUUGCGGUUAGUUUUCCCCUGUAAUCAAUUAUUGCCACCGGAUGGGAGCCACGUAAUUCGUCUAAUUGAACUGUACCCGGUUAUUCGCAAUCCACACCGGGCAAACUUGAAUCAUCUAUAUAUAUUACAUCAAAUUGUCAAACUGGAAGCAAGAACUCGAAAAAACAACUUAACUACUUUCGAACUUUGAUUCCCGUAAGCAGAGAUCUUUCUGAUUUGAAGAACAUGGAAACCACCUGCGCAGGUUUAUAGGCCAACUUUAUUUUAAUAUAUAUCGUUUAUACUUCUUAUUUUAGUAUAUGCGGUUAUAAAUUAAAUUUUUUAUAUGAAAUUUUCAGGUAAUAACUGGUCAGAGGGUCUUCUGCUUCCUCCGUUUGGCAGUAUUGCUGAUGAUGAUGUCAUGAACGACAAUCUUGAUUUUCUUAAUGUCCCCCAAUAUGGAAGAAACCCCGACUACAUGGGUUAAGUGCAGCACUGCUUUUUUUUUUUUUCUGUUUUGUUUAAUUAAAUAAAUGAUAGGUAUACUAUUACCUAUCAAUCAUGACAAUGUUUUAGUAUGGUUUAGUUCAACUUAUAAGAUUUCUUGAGACGUACAAGCAAUCUUUUUGUUUACUUUUGAGCUAAGUAUUUUCCUGAAAAAGGAAAUAAAUCAAUAAAAGUUAUUGUGUGUGUCAACAUAUUGGUUCUAUUAGUUUAUACACGUCGGUUUUAAUUACGAUCUCUCUUCCUAAAUGUUGUACUUUUUUUUGAAAUAAACUCAAAACUUUGUUGUAUAAAAAACUCUUAUCACUUUCAAUCAUAUGAUGGUUACAAUUUAAUCAUUUAUUCAUAACAUCCUCCUGGUCCUCCAUUGAGGAUAUUAAAGUGUGCCAUUCUGUAACCCAGAACUAUCAUUUCUUCCACCUCUACGAUAUCUUGUAAUGUUACUUGCAGCUUCAUAAGCCACAGAAACAUCAUCAAAAUCAACAAAUUGUUUUUUUUUUUUUUAGGAAAGUAAUAAGAAAAAUAAAAGCUGCAUUAUUUUAUUGGCCACAUUGGACUCCUAGGCCGGGUAAUCUUGUCAUCUCUACUCGUAGAGUCUUCUCCCAUGGUACUUGCAUGGUUCCAUCUUUUAACUCUAGUAGUAUUUUGUUUGGAAAAUACCCCAAUAUAAUAUCUUCAUUCAAGAAAAUUGAGGACUGAAUUUGUGGUGCUUUUAUCAUAUUAAAUUACAUUUAAUUAUCAAUAUUUAUUGACUGAAAUCAGAAGGGUGUUUGAAUCAGAUAUGAAUUCUCUCUUAAUCAAUUUUUUUUUCUAAAUUUUGUAAGAUAUUAUGGCAGAUUUCAUUUAAAUUGUUUUAUAGUUAGGAUUUAAUUUAUUUUGGGCUUUCCUUAUUGUUUGAAUCCGAUGAAUUUCAUAUCAUCUUGCUGGUGCUUCUUCUGAUCUUCUUCUCCCUCCCUCUCUCUCACUUUUUUUCUUCUCUCUCACAGACCUAAAACUUUGACGAGCAAAUUUGAAAACGAAAUAUCAGGACGGAAAAGCCUCAACAUAUUAAAAAAUUCGGAUAAUUUAACUCUCGUAGCAUUGAUGAAUUUUGGUGUUCUGAUGCGAUUCAAGUUUCUCAUAGAGCCAAAAAAUGGCAAUUCAAGCCAAUUUUUUUAUCCAUCAAUUGAAAUACAUGUUACAUAUGCAGCAGCCCGUAAUCGAAAAUAACUUAAUUUGUUUUAAAAAUUCUUUAUGUUAGACUAGAAAUGAAUCCAUUCUUGUUAUUGCGUAUCUGCAAUUUAACUUAUGCUGCUAGUUUACAAUUUAUUUUAUUCACAUAAAUGAUCGUUCCUUU
rnacentral:lncRNA from 1 species